rnacentral:lncRNA from 1 species
UUUUAUCAUCAUCAUUGCUCUUGGCGAAAUCACCAUGAAUGUUGCUUGCUCCUUUUGCAUUUGGAUUUUUAAAUGAAGGACCAACAGUUCUUAUGGGGAUUGAUUUUUUCGAAAUAUAAUCUAUGAAUUCAUGCUCUAGUUCUUCAUAGGUAUCCACUAAUACACAAAACACUUUAGAUAAGUCCUUAAACUCUUCUAAGACAAGUUUACCUAGGAAUGGAAAUGAACAAAAAGGAUGCACAAGAUCUGAGAUUUCAUUGUAUUUAAGAACUCUAGAAGGGAUGAGUUGAACAUCAAUAUAAGGUUCUUCAUUUGUAGGGAAAGGUGUUAAUUUGUGGACAUAGUUAUAGUAAGUGGUGAAAACAGCAGCGGAAUUAGUCCAUGAUAAAACAGAAGGAAUAUUGUGUUCAUUAGCAACAUCACAAACCCAUGGAAAAAAAUAAUUGUUUAUGAUACAUGAAAAUGGUUUGUUUAAAUCAGCAUGAUUCUUGAUCAUUUGAGAAAUAGAGGGUCUACCAGCAACCUCAAUUUCAGCGGAGUGCUGAAGAGCUCUGAAGGCUGAACGAUCACCGUCUGGUAAACCAUCAUCAAAGAACUCGAAAGCGAAAGUACCAUCACCAAUUGGAGUUGCUAAUUUGUCAAUGAUGUUGUUAGCAGCUCGCAUGUUUUUGCCAGCCGUCUCUGUUGUGGUGAAGAUAACAGUGGCACCCUUUGCAGCAAGAUACUUUCCUAGUCCAACAAGAUGGUUUAUGUGUCCUUGUGCUGGAAAAGAGACAAGGAGAAGCUUAAUGGGAUCUUCGUAUGUCAUUUUUCUUUUUAUUAUUUAUUGAGUGAUUUUCUUCUUCAAAGUUGGAGAUACCUAUAGCAAGAGAAUACUUGCUCUCUUAUAUUGGAAGAAAGACUUCCUCUUCCCUUGUGUCACAGCACAGGUUUGACAACAUUCUAAUAAAUUAAUAAUAAUAUUUUGUCUUUGUCAUUUGUUUUGGCAAAUUGUAUUUUUUCCUUGUCAUAUUUAAUGCAAAAACGAUAAUGAAAUUAAUUAUAUUUGUGGACUACAUUUUACCACACUUCAUCUCCCAUCUGGCAGUGGUGGCUAUAACCAUCUGGUAGCUAGAAAGUGUGGUAGUCCGUAGGAGUUAAGAGAAAAUAAUAAACUGCAUUUAGUAUUCUCUCAAAAAAAAAAAAACUGCAUUUAGUAAUAAGGGUCACGUUAAAUAUCUAUUGAAAAAAAAAAUUAUUUUCAAUUUAUUGAAAAAUAAAUUUACACUAGUUUAAUACUCUGAUUUCUACAUUUGAUAUUGUAAUAAGGGUCACGUUAAAUAGCCCCUAACAGCACUUGUGAUCGGCAGUAGCAUUUAUAGUCUGAAAAUGAUAUCCUGCAUUUAAUUAGUAUUAAUAGCCCUUACUUGUGAUCAGCAGUAGCAUUUAUAGUCUGAACUUCGACCAUGCUCUAAAAUAAAUUAGCCAAAAAAUAGUUUGUUUUCGAGUGAGAGAAAAGAAGAGGACAAAAAAUACUCCCUAGUCUCUAGAAAUUGUUAGUGAACAAGAGAAAGAGUUAAGCCACCAAAAUUAAAGUUAAAUUAUCGUAUUUUUCCUUCAUCCACCAAUAGAAUAGUAAUUUAAGUACUUGACUUUAUCCAAUUGAUGUGGUUAAAUAUUCUAUUAUUAUGUUCUUUCUAAAUUAACCAAACACAUCAAAACCAAAUUAUAUAUAUAUAUAUAUAUAUAUAUAUAUAUAUAUAUAUAAAAGAUCGUCAAACUUUUGAAUCGUCUGUUACAAGACCAAACUGCAUAAAAUGGUCUGAAAUAUUUGAAGGAUCAAUUGAAAGAGAAACCAAUCUAAUGUCGAACGUGCAUCCAAUGUCGAACGUGAUGCCAAAUAUUGUCGAAGAAAUUACAAUUUAAAAAUAAGUGAUUAGCCAAUUUUAUAGCACCACACCCACUCACACAAAGCCGAGAGUCUUGAUUAAAGAUGUCUCACUUGCAUAAAUUGUCCUCGGUAGGAAGUUGAUUUCUGAGAAGAUGCCAAACAAACACAAAUAAUUUCAAAGGAAUGUCCUUAUUAUGCCAAAGAAGAUCCAAAAUGGGUAAAUGAAAAUGAGGAACAAAAUUAACUAGCAAUUAAUGUGUACCACUGACAUAGUAACAAACAAUAAGAUCGUUUCCAUGGCCACUUAUCACCACCGUUAACUUGUAAAGUAACAUUGUUAAGCAAAGUCCUACACUCCGUACCAAUUCCUCCUCCCACGCAAAUAAUGACGCCUCUAAUUCAAAGCCUCUCCUCCCUCUUCCCACCCCAAAUAAAACAUAGCUGUCACUGAUGCCCACUGAUUCACAGAUAACUCAAACAACCUCCUUAAGCGCUCCUUGAGAGGAAUAUCCCUAAUCCAAUGAUUAGACCAAAAAUAAGUAUCAACACCAUCACCCACCACCUUUCUUAAAUUCUCUUCAAAUCAACUUCCUUCUCCGAACCCAAUGUCAUUACAGAUCCACACCAACUCCUUCCACCAAACAAACUCAUCUCUACCCCUCUCCUUCGAGCGCCAUCACUCCUCACCAUAUUUCACCAUCAACACCGUAUACCACAACCCCCUUUAAUCACCAACAUCCUCCGGCACCACUUUUUUAAAAGAGCGUUCUUAAACCAGGAUAGAGUGCAAACAAUAUAAAUCGUGUAUUAUAAUUGUAUUCUUUUUAUGUCAUUUUUUUUUUUAUAAAACACUUAUUUUAAAUAACUCUUUAGUAUCCGACAUUAGUCUGGUGUAUGAUUUUUGUGAUAAAGUAGAGUUUGUAUAUUAUAAUUAUCUUCAUUUUAUUUAAAAGAUAUAAAAAAAUUUAAAUUUGUCUAAUUAAUUAAUGACAAAUUGUUGUUUUGUUUAUGAAUUGUAUGCCCGACCGGUGUAUGAUUCGGUGACUCUUUUUCAAUAAAACAACGUGAAAGUAGAAGGAUAAAAAAGUUAUAAUCGGUGUGUUAUAAUUUCUUUUUUAUAAUGAAGAUAUUAUAUUCACUAAUUUUUAAUAAUUUUUUAAUGACAUACAUUUGCAUGGUGUACUUUUUUUUUUUUAUAUAAUCAGCAAUAAUUUGUAUAUUACAAUUAUUCUCAUUUUUAUCUAGAAGAUAUUAAAAAAAUUAAAAGUUUGGUGAAAACUAAUUGUCCGUGUAUUGUCAUGUAAUUAACAUUAAAUUGGUUUUUUUUGUUGGAGUGGGGUAUACGCGGAAGCUCUUCCUUUGCCUGUAUCGCCGUUCCUGCACAAGGAGCCACUUGUUGUUUGUAUCGUCGUUGCGGCUUUCUGCGCAACAACCGGCUGCCUCGGUUGCACCCUUCGUUGAACCGGGACUCUGAUACCACUUUUGGUUCAGUGAGGGGAACUUUGGGCGACCGUCCACAUCGAGGCUAGAACAACCGCACAAGUAAGAGAGACACCGCACUCUUACCCAAAACCUUAAGGCAAUGAAUUUACGGGUCUUCUUACUUAUAAGGUGUUCAACCUUUACUAUUUUAUCCGAUGUCGGACAUAGAACUCACACUUGCAAACCAACACUCCCCCUCAAGUGUGAGUCCAUCUAUUCAUCAUGCUACCCCUUCAAGCGGAAGCUCUUAUUUUGCAUGUAUCGUCGUUCCUGCACAAGGAGCCACUUGCUGCUUGUACCGUCGUUGCAGCUUUCUGCACAAUGACCGGCUGCCUCAGUCGCACCCUUCGUCGAACCGGGGCUCUGAUAUCAUUGUUGGAUCAUGAGGGGAGCUAGGGGGACCGUCUGCAAAUAUAUAUUUUUUUAAAAUAACUUUUUUUUGGAUCCAGGGACUAUUUUAAAAUAAAAAUUGCAGGGAUGAAAUUAAAAAAAAAAAUUAUCAGGGACCAAAACCCAAACUCACCAUAUUUACAGGGACCAAAAACAUAUUUUAGCCUUGGGAAUAAUAACCGUCUUGGUUGAUGGUUGUGAGGUUGAAGACAAAAGAAGAAAAUCUAGUGAUUAUGAAGUAUGAUAAGGAUGUGUUCUUGAUUUGAUCUAAUCGUCGAAAACUAAUUUUCCCAUGGUAGAAAAAAAAAGUAGUUUUCCCAUGCUAAACCUCACAUAUGCCAGGGGGAUAGUCAGUUGAUUCAAUAUAUACCAUUUUGAUUUAUUUUUUUUAAAAAUUGAGGUUUCUUUUACUUAGAUUAUUUGCAAUACAAACUAAUAUUAUCAUAUAAUUUAUAAGGAAUUUGAUACUUAUAAAUCCAUAGAUUUAGUAGUAGUCAUCUUCUACCAGCUAUACCCCUAAAAAAAAAUCUACUACCAGCCAUGCUUAAUAAAAAUUAUAUGUAUUCCCAACUAAUAUCUGUGUGAAUAUCUUCUAGAUAUGUAUUUAGUUGAUAUUAAAGUAUUUAUGUAUCGUCGUGUAUAUGAAUCAAUAUAGUCUAUUUUAAUGGAUAAGUGCGCAUUACAAAAAAAAACUUAGAAUUAUAUUGAUUUAUGCUGUUAAUUUCACUGUAUAUUUUUUUUUUGACUUAAUUGUACUUUUGAUCACCAUGUUUGAUUAAGUUUAUGAAAAUAAUCCCCUCUUUUCGUAAUUGAACUUUCUGGUAAUCUGUUUUUACAUUUAUCGCAACUUUGAUUCCAACUCAUGUUUAUUACCCUAAAAAUAGUUAUUUUUUGAUACUAAAAUAUGUGAAUUUUGUCUCAAUAGUGAUACUUUGUUUUUAGAUUCAAUAUUGGGGUAAUAAUUCGCCUUUUAUGGUGCUAAAAAUCCCAAUGUUUAGGGGUUGUUGGGGACCAAAUAGCAAUAAUAGAAUACCUGUUAUGCAGGUUUGACAUCAUUUUUAUAAAUUAAUAAUAUUUUUUCCUUGUCAUUGCUAUUUACUGCAAAAACGGUAAUGAAAUUAAUCAUAUUUGUCAGGUUCCUUACUUAUUUUCGUGGACUCCAUUUUACCACACUUCCCUCUCCCAUGUAUGUGGUAGCUAGAACGUGCGGUAGUCCGCAGGAGUUAGGAGGAGGUACUGCACCCGUGAUCAGUAGUAGCAUUUAUGGUCUGAAAAUGAUAUACCAUCGACUCUAUGCAUGCAAUAAAUAAGAAGGAAAAAAAUAUAUUUUUGAGUAACUUAAAAGAAGGCCCAAGGGUAUUUUUAACUAAAUAUUGAUACUAUUUUUUUUAUUAAUAUUCUUAUAUUAGAUUUUGUAUUUGUAGUUUGCUAAAAAAAUUAAUUUAAAUUUAUUAGUCUAUAUUAAUCUUUUAUAUAUUUAGAUAAGUUACGACAAAUUACAAGCCAAAUUUAAACCUUAAAUUUUUUGAUAAGUUAGAUUUAAGUCUUAUAAAACCUAACUCGAAUUUACCUAUUUCCACCAUUAGCAUCUGAAAAAUAAUAAUUCUUGUAGUAAGUUUUAUCACAAUUUUAUUGUUUUAUUCUUCAAUAAAAAUCGAUGUGAUAAUAUUUUUUAACAUUUAAAAUUGUUAUGGUAUAAAUUGCCUAUUUCAAUUGGGAGAAUUGAAAAUUAGAUUUCACAAGGAUCACCUGACAUACACGUAUAUACCAUGUGUCAUUGAUAUAUGCAUUUAACACAUAAUCCACUCUUUUUAAAGAAAUAAAAUCAAUUUUUUUUUGUUGUGUCGGGAGUACAAUUGUUUUUAUUUUUAUUGUUUUUCAGUUCAAACAAAAAAUUCCUGCAAGUAAUUUUAAUUACUUAAGCAACAACCAACCAGUGGUAAAAAGAUCUGCAUAACACUAUCCUUGUUUUAAUAAAAAACGACAUUUGUAGUUUCAUCAUGAGAAAGCAAGACAGUCACAUGUUGCCGACCCUCCCAUUGAUCGAAUUGGGUAAAUAAUAUUAGUGUGUUGUUUUAUUUAUCGUUAUUGUUUUGAAUAUGGCUGUGAUGUUGCUCCACAUUUAAUUCUAGGACUGUUGUUGUUGUCGUUGUUGACAACUUUGUUCAUUGAUUACUAUUUCUUUUACUUCACACAUCUAAGUUUUAUUGAUGUGAUUAUUUAUUUGAAUUCACAACACAUAUAAUUAUAUAAUAAAAUAUUCUAACAUCACUCACUCCCCUAAAAAGAAUAGUUCGAACAUCAUAUUCAUUUUAACAUAUUGUUUUUGCUAAUUUAGACUGAGCAUGGUCGACGGUACAUACGUUUCUACGGCUCAUUUUCAUUUGUAUCUCCUCACUGACCCUACUCCUUCAGAAUAUCACAUACACAUGUUCUACCUACCAAAUUGGGAGAGGAAAUGUGGCAAAAUGGAGUCCACGGGAAGUAAAGGAACAAGAUCGAUAUGAUUAAUUUCAGUGUGGUUGUUGUUGUAGUAUAAAUGAACAAUACAAUUGUGGUAAUAAUAAUUCUAUGUUACAGAUGUUCUUACGCAUUGGCCAAUCUUUCGAUAUAAUUAUAACAAUAGUAAUAUUGAUACUAUUUUUUAUUAAUAUUCUUAUAUUAGAUUUUGUAUUUGUAGUUUGCUAAAAAAAUUAAUUUAAGUUUAUUAGUCCAUAUUAAUUUUUUUAUAUAUUUAGAUAAGUUACAACAAACUACAAGUAAAAUUUAAACCUUAAAUUUUUUGAUAAGUUAGAUUUAUGUCUUAUAAAACCUAAAUAGUAGAAAAUAAAUAAAUAAUUUUGAUUGGUGUCAAAUCACGUGUAUAACUCUACUCACUUUAUUGAUAGGUAAAUAAGAGUUGUCAUUUCUUUACUUGGUGCCAAAGUGUAUAUUUUUGUUAUACGAUUCACUAUCGAAAAAACGGUAGGGCAUACUUUGAAAAGUUAUUAACAGUUAUCCAAAAUAUAAGGCCAUGCAUAUAAGUUUGAAUCACAACACUUCUCAAUUGUGCAUUCAAAGUGAAUAAACCAAUAUGAUUUCCCAUUCCUUCUCAUUAGCUAUGAUUUUGCUCCUAUUUCUUUUCAUUUUUCAGCUUCUCUCUUACUUAAAGAGAAACAAGAAGUUGCAUGCACGAUUACCACCUCACCCUCCAAGUCCACCAGCAAUACCAAUAAUUGGACAUCUUCAUCUCCUCAAACCACUCAUUCAUCAGGCCUUUCGCCACCUCUCCGAUCAAUAUGGCCCUUUAAUAUCCCUUCGACUUGGCUCCUCUCAAUUUAUCAUUGUUAACACUCCAUCACUCGCCAAAGAGUUUCUCAAGACACAUGAGCUCACUUAUUCUCACCGUAAAAUGAGCAUAGCCAUCAACGUAGUUGCCUAUGAUGAUGCAACUUUUGCUUUCGCUCCUUAUGGGACUUAUUGGAAAUUUAUUAAAAAGCUCAGCACCACUGAGCUCUUGGGUAAUCGAACCAUGGCACAAUUUCUACCGAUUCGAACCCAAGAACUCCAUGAAUUCAUUCAAACUUUGGCAAAUAAGUCUAAGGCAGAAGAAAGUGUGAACCUCACACAAGCUUUGAUAAAGCUUUCCAACAACAUAAUAUCACGGAUGAUGUUGAGUAUUGAUUGCUCAGGAACAGAUAACCAAGCAGAACAAGUUAGGGCUUUGGUUCGCGAGGUAACACAGAUUUUUGGAGAAUUUAAUGUUUCAGAUUUUAUAGGAAUUUUCAAGAACUUUGACUUGCAAGGUUUUAAAAAGAGGGCCUUGGACAUACACAAAAGGUAUGAUGCUUUGUUGGAUAAGAUUAUUUCUGAUCGUGAAGAACUAAGAAGGGAAGCCAAGCUAAUAGAUGGUGGUGGUGAGAAUGGUGAAGAAGAGAGACUGAAAGAUUUUCUUGACAUUUUGCUAGAUGUCUACAGUGAGAAAAACUGUGAAGUCAACUUUACUAGAAAUCAUAUCAAAUCAUUAAUAUUGGUACGUAUAUAACUUCUCCUCAUACUUUUUAUGUAAUUAUAAUUUUUUUUUUGACCCUAGUAAGUUAUAAAACAUUGUUGGAUUAUUGUUAUUAAAUUAUUUCUUCAAAAAAUAAUAAAUGUCAGGAUUACUUUACGGCAGCAACCGACACUACUGCCAUCUCCGUGGAAUGGGCAAUAUCAGAACUGUUUAACAAUCCAAGGGUGCUGAAAAAAGCACAAGAGGAGGUGGAUAUAGUUACUAGAAAGGAAAGACUUGUGUGUGAAGAAGACGGUCCAAACCUUCCUUAUAUACAUGCUAUCAUAAAAGAAACAAUGAGGCUUCAUCCCCCGAUACCGAUGAUUAUGAGGAAGGGAAUGGAAGAUUGUGUGGUUGAUGGUAACAUGAUUCUGAAAGGCUCAAUGGUUUGUGUAAACAUUUGGGCUAUGGCAAGGGACCCAAAGAUAUGGGAAAACCCAUUAGAGUUUAGGCCAGAAAGGUUUUUAGAAAACAAAGAUAUUGACAUGAAAGGGCACCAGUUUGAGUUGUUGCCAUUUGGUUCUGGAAGGAGAGGUUGUCCUGGUAUGCCUUUGGCCCUACGUCAAUUACCCACUGUAAUUGGUGCUUUGGUACAAUGCUUUGAGUGGAAGAUGCUUGAUUCGGAAUGUAAGAUCUUAGAUCAAGGCAAAAAAAUUGAUAUGGAUGAACGGCCUGGAUUGACUGCUCCUAGGGCCAAUGAUCUUAUUUGUAUUCCAGUUGCAAGAUUGAACCCCCUUACAUUUCUUCAACUUUAGUAAAAGGGAAUUUGUGAUAAAGUAGUGCAAUUGUUGUUUAUGUCUUUCUCUAUUCACAAUCUUAAGCCCUUGCUCUUCUAUUUCUCUUUACUUCUUCUCUCACAUCAUUGAUCACACACCUAAAUCUCCUUUUAUCUAUCUUUUUUGGCUUUCUAUCUCAUUUCCAUAUACUCUUCUUAUACCACACUGGAUAUAUGAAAGUGUAUUUUAAUUCCUUUAGCAUUUCAUCUGUGUUUGUAUAAUGCAAUUUAGAGAUUGAACAAACAUUUGCAUUGGGAUUGGGACGGGUUGAAGAGUUUGUUUGGAUAGAGAGUUUAAGAAGGUAGAGUUCAUUUUUUUUAAAUAACAUUUUUUUUAUCUAGGGACUAUUUUUAAAAAAAAUUACAAGGAUGAAAUUCAAAAUAAAAAUUAUCAGGGAUCAAAACCCAAACUCGCCAUAUUUACAGGGACCAAAAACAUAUUUUAGCCUUGGGAAAAAUAACCGUCUUGGUUGAUGGUUGUGAGGUUGAAGACAAAAGAAGAAAAUCUAGUGAUGAGGGAGUAUGAUAAGGAUGUGUUCUUGGUUUGAUCUAAUGGUCAAAAACUAACUUUCCCAUGAUGGGAAAAAAGUAGCUUUCCAAUGCUAAACCUCACCUAUGCCAGGGGGAUAGUCAGUUGAUUCAAUAUAUACCAUUUUGAUUUCUUACAAAAAAAAUUGAGGUUUUUUUACUUAGAUUAUUUGCAAUAUAAAUUAAUAUUAUCAUAUAAUUUAUAAGGAAUUUGACACUUAUAAAUCCACAGAUUUAGUAGUAGUCAUCUUCUACCAGCUAUACCCCUAAAAUAAAAUCUACUACCAGCUAUGCUUAAUAAAAAUUAUAUGUAUUCCCACCUAAUAUCUGUGUGAAUAUCUUUUAGAUAUGUAUUUAGUUGAUAUUAAAGUAUUUAUGUAUCGUCGUGUAUAUGAAUCAAUAUAGUCUAUUUUAAUGUAUAAGUGCGCAUUACAAAAAAUAAAACUUAGAAUUAUAUUGAUUUAUGUUGUUAAUUUCAUUGUAUAUUUUUUUUUGACUUAAUUGUACUUUUGGUCACUAUGUUUGAUUAAGUUUAUGAAAAUAAUCCACUCUUUUCGUAAUUGAACUUUCUGGUAAUCUGUUUUUACAUUUAUCGCAACUUUGAUUCCAACUCAUGUUUAUUACCCUAAAAAUAGUUAUUUUUUGAUACUAAAAUAUGUGAAUUUUGUCUCAAUAGUGAUACUUUGUUUUUAGAUUCAAUAUUGGGGUAAUAAUUCGCCUUUUAUGGUGCUAAAAAUCCCAAUGUUUAGGGGUUGUUGGGGACCAAAUAGCAAUAAUAGAAUACCUGUUAUGCAGGUUUGACAUCAUUUUUAUAAAUUAAUAAUAUUUUUUCCUUGUCAUUGCUAUUUACUGCAAAAACGGUAAUGAAAUUAAUCAUAUUUGUCAGGUUCCUUACUUAUUUUCGUGGACUCCAUUUUACCACACUUCCCUCUCCCAUGUAUGUGGUAGCUAGAACGUGCGGUAGUCCGCAGGAGUUAGGAGGAGGUACUGCACCCGUGAUCAGUAGUAGCAUUUAUGGUCUGAAAAUGAUAUACCAUCGACUCUAUGCAUGCAAUAAAUAAGAAGGAAAAAAAUAUAUUUUUGAGUAACUUAAAAGAAGGCCCAAGGGUAUUUUUAACUAAAUAUUGAUACUAUUUUUUUUAUUAAUAUUCUUAUAUUAGAUUUUGUAUUUGUAGUUUGCUAAAAAAAUUAAUUUAAAUUUAUUAGUCUAUAUUAAUCUUUUAUAUAUUUAGAUAAGUUACGACAAAUUACAAGCUAAAUUUAAACCUUAAAUUUUGAUAAGUUAGAUUUAAGUCUUAUAAAACCUAACUCGAAUUUACCUAUUUCCACCGUUAGCAUCUGAAAAAUAAUAAUUCUUGUAGUAAGUGUUAUCGCAUUUUUAUUGUUUUAUUCUUCAAUAAAAAUCGAUGUGAUAAUAUUUCUUAACAAUUAAAAUUGUUAUGGUAUAAAUUGCCUAUUUCAAUUGGGAGAAUUGAAAAUUAGGUUUCACAAGGAUCACCUGACAUACACGUAUAUACCAUGUGUCAUUGAUAUAUGCAUUUAACACAUAAUCCACUCUUUAAGUAGAAAUAAAAUCAAAUUUUUUUUGUUGUGUCGGGAGUACAAUUGUUUUUAUUUUUAUUGUUUUUCAGUUCAAACAAAAAAUUCCUGCAAGUAAUUUUAAUUACUUGAGCAACAACCAACCAGUGGUAAAAAGAUCUACAUAACACUAUCCUUGUUUUAAUAAAAAACGAUAUUUGUAGUUUCAUAAUGAGAAAGCAAGACAGUCACAUGUUACCGACCCUCCCUUUGAUCGAAUUGGGUAAAUCAUAUUGGUGUGUUGUUUUAUUUAUCGUUAUUGUUUUGAAUAUGGCUCUGAUGUUGCUCCACACUUAAUUCUACGACUGUUGUUGUCGUUGUUUCUUGACAAUCAGGCCCGGUCCUAGAGUUUUACGGGUCUUAGGCAUAAUAUAGAAAAAGGGCCCUUAUAUAAUGCAUCAUAAUUUUUUUUAUCUCAUUGUUGUGUUUUUUUGCUUUUCAUUUCGUUUUUUUUAUUUCGCUUUUCACUACAAAAUAAAUGUUUUUUUUAGACAACAUCUGAAAAUAAAUUAAAUAUUCUAUACACACCAAAACAAAAUAAAAAUACCGUAGAAGUAGAGAAAAAUAGCACAUGUGAAGUAGACUGAAAUUUUAGCACACUAUUUUCAACUAAAAUAGAAUUUGCUUUGUUAUGAAAAUUAUCCUAAUUUCUUGGAUAAUAAAUAUCGUCGAUAUUUUUAAUAUUAAUGAAGCACAUUAUUAGGAACAAAGGGCCCAAAAAAAUAUCACAAAUUUCUUCGAUAAUAAAUUUUUGAGCAUAUUAUCAAGAACAAAUUUUUUAUAGGAGGGUGUAUAGAAAUAUUUGUGUUACAUGGGAUAUAUAUAACAAAUCUCACUAAAAGGACCAAAAAUACUAACAGAUAUCAGCCCAUUCCUUUAUCAUGUCAAAGUUUGGGCCUUUGCAGAGAAUUUUUCUAUAUAUAUCCCCUGAAAUCCAAAUAUUUCUAUAUACACCCCCUUACCUUAAAAUUUUUUUGGACCCCCUACUGGCAUGGGCUCUAGGCCGUCGCACUCGCGACCUAUGCCUUAGGGCCGGCCCUGUGAACAAUACAAUUGUGGUAAUAAUAAUUCUAUGUUACAGAUGUUCUUACGCUUUGGCCAUUCUUUCGAUAUAAUUAUAACAAUAUAUAGUAAUAAUACGAUUCAGUUGUACUAUGGUUUAAUUCUGUUACUUAAUAUAAAAAGUUAGGCAAACACCUUUUGGGCAUACACCAUGAGAAAAAGAGAUCUAGAAGAGUGGUAUGAUACGAAUUUGAUAAAUUGGUGAUGAGGUAUGAAGAUAGAUAUAGAUAAAAUAAGGUGUUAAAUAAAUAAAUAAGAAUAUCAUAUGCAUAAAUAUUAUUGUUGAUUUUUUAACAAUUUUUCUAUGGAACUAAAUACUAUAUAUUAUUUAGAUGGCAAUUGCAACAAAAGGUUGGUAGUGUUACCAAUGUAAUCAAAAUUAUUUAUUUAUCUUUUAUCUUGUAUGUCAUAUCUAUAACAUAAAUAGUAGAAAAUAAAUAAAUAAAUUUGAUUGGUGUCAAAUCACGUGUAUAACUCUACUCACUUUAUUGUAAGAGAUGUCAUUUCUUUACUUGGUGCCAAAGUGUAUAUUUUUGUUAUACAAUUCACUAUCGAAAAAACGGUAGGGCAUACUUUGAAAAUUUAUUAACGGUUAUCCAAAAUAUAACGCCAUGCAUAUAAGUUUGAUUCACAACACUUCUCAAUUGUGCAUUCAAAGCNAACUUCUCCUCAUACUUUUUAUGUAAUUAUAAUUUUUUUUUUGACCCUAGUAAGUUAUAAAACAUUGUUGGAUUAUUGUUAUUAAAUUAUUUCUUCAAAAAAUAAUAAAUGUCAGGAUUACUUUACGGCAGCAACCGACACUACUGCCAUCUCCGUGGAAUGGGCAAUAUCAGAACUGUUUAACAAUCCAAGGGUGCUGAAAAAAGCACAAGAGGAGGUGGAUAUAGUUACUAGAAAGGAAAGACUUGUGUGUGAAGAAGACGGUCCAAACCUUCCUUAUAUACAUGCUAUCAUAAAAGAAACAAUGAGGCUUCAUCCCCCGAUACCGAUGAUUAUGAGGAAGGGAAUGGAAGAUUGUGUGGUUGAUGGUAACAUGAUUCUGAAAGGCUCAAUGGUUUGUGUAAACAUUUGGGCUAUGGCAAGGGACCCAAAGAUAUGGGAAAACCCAUUAGAGUUUAGGCCAGAAAGGUUUUUAGAAAACAAAGAUAUUGACAUGAAAGGGCACCAGUUUGAGUUGUUGCCAUUUGGUUCUGGAAGGAGAGGUUGUCCUGGUAUGCCUUUGGCCCUACGUCAAUUACCCACUGUAAUUGGUGCUUUGGUACAAUGCUUUGAGUGGAAGAUGCUUGAUUCGGAAUGUAAGAUCUUAGAUCAAGGCAAAAAAAUUGAUAUGGAUGAACGGCCUGGAUUGACUGCUCCUAGGGCCAAUGAUCUUAUUUGUAUUCCAGUUGCAAGAUUGAACCCCCUUACAUUUCUUCAACUUUAGUAAAAGGGAAUUUGUGAUAAAGUAGUGCAAUUGUUGUUUAUGUCUUUCUCUAUUCACAAUCUUAAGCCCUUGCUCUUCUAUUUCUCUUUACUUCUUCUCUCACAUCAUUGAUCACACACCUAAAUCUCCUUUUAUCUAUCUUUUUUGGCUUUCUAUCUCAUUUCCAUAUACUCUUCUUAUACCACACUGGAUAUAUGAAAGUGUAUUUUAAUUCCUUUAGCAUUUCAUCUGUGUUUGUAUAAUGCAAUUUAGAGAUUGAACAAACAUUUGCAUUGGGAUUGGGACGGGUUGAAGAGUUUGUUUGGAUAGAGAGUUUAAGAAGGUAGAGUUCAUUUUUUUUAAAUAACAUUUUUUUUAUCUAGGGACUAUUUUUAAAAAAAAUUACAAGGAUGAAAUUCAAAAUAAAAAUUAUCAGGGAUCAAAACCCAAACUCGCCAUAUUUACAGGGACCAAAAACAUAUUUUAGCCUUGGGAAAAAUAACCGUCUUGGUUGAUGGUUGUGAGGUUGAAGACAAAAGAAGAAAAUCUAGUGAUGAGGGAGUAUGAUAAGGAUGUGUUCUUGGUUUGAUCUAAUGGUCAAAAACUAACUUUCCCAUGAUGGGAAAAAAGUAGCUUUCCAAUGCUAAACCUCACCUAUGCCAGGGGGAUAGUCAGUUGAUUCAAUAUAUACCAUUUUGAUUUCUUACAAAAAAAAUUGAGGUUUUUUUACUUAGAUUAUUUGCAAUAUAAAUUAAUAUUAUCAUAUAAUUUAUAAGGAAUUUGACACUUAUAAAUCCACAGAUUUAGUAGUAGUCAUCUUCUACCAGCUAUACCCCUAAAAUAAAAUCUACUACCAGCUAUGCUUAAUAAAAAUUAUAUGUAUUCCCACCUAAUAUCUGUGUGAAUAUCUUUUAGAUAUGUAUUUAGUUGAUAUUAAAGUAUUUAUGUAUCGUCGUGUAUAUGAAUCAAUAUAGUCUAUUUUAAUGUAUAAGUGCGCAUUACAAAAAAUAAAACUUAGAAUUAUAUUGAUUUAUGUUGUUAAUUUCAUUGUAUAUUUUUUUUUGACUUAAUUGUACUUUUGGUCACUAUGUUUGAUUAAGUUUAUGAAAAUAAUCCACUCUUUUCGUAAUUGAACUUUCUGGUAAUCUGUUUUUACAUUUAUCGCAACUUUGAUUCCAACUCAUGUUUAUUACCCUAAAAAUAGUUAUUUUUUGAUACUAAAAUAUGUGAAUUUUGUCUCAAUAGUGAUACUUUGUUUUUAGAUUCAAUAUUGGGGUAAUAAUUCGCCUUUUAUGGUGCUAAAAAUCCCAAUGUUUAGGGGUUGUUGGGGACCAAAUAGCAAUAAUAGAAUACCUGUUAUGCAGGUUUGACAUCAUUUUUAUAAAUUAAUAAUAUUUUUUCCUUGUCAUUGCUAUUUACUGCAAAAACGGUAAUGAAAUUAAUCAUAUUUGUCAGGUUCCUUACUUAUUUUCGUGGACUCCAUUUUACCACACUUCCCUCUCCCAUGUAUGUGGUAGCUAGAACGUGCGGUAGUCCGCAGGAGUUAGGAGGAGGUACUGCACCCGUGAUCAGUAGUAGCAUUUAUGGUCUGAAAAUGAUAUACCAUCGACUCUAUGCAUGCAAUAAAUAAGAAGGAAAAAAAUAUAUUUUUGAGUAACUUAAAAGAAGGCCCAAGGGUAUUUUUAACUAAAUAUUGAUACUAUUUUUUUUAUUAAUAUUCUUAUAUUAGAUUUUGUAUUUGUAGUUUGCUAAAAAAAUUAAUUUAAAUUUAUUAGUCUAUAUUAAUCUUUUAUAUAUUUAGAUAAGUUACGACAAAUUACAAGCCAAAUUUAAACCUUAAAUUUUUUGAUAAGUUAGAUUUAAGUCUUAUAAAACCUAACUCGAAUUUACCUAUUUCCACCAUUAGCAUCUGAAAAAUAAUAAUUCUUGUAGUAAGUUUUAUCACAAUUUUAUUGUUUUAUUCUUCAAUAAAAAUCGAUGUGAUAAUAUUUUUUAACAUUUAAAAUUGUUAUGGUAUAAAUUGCCUAUUUCAAUUGGGAGAAUUGAAAAUUAGAUUUCACAAGGAUCACCUGACAUACACGUAUAUACCAUGUGUCAUUGAUAUAUGCAUUUAACACAUAAUCCACUCUUUUUAAAGAAAUAAAAUCAAUUUUUUUUUGUUGUGUCGGGAGUAAAAUUGUUUUUAUUUUUACUGUUUUUCAGUUCAAACAAAAAAUUCCUGCAAGUAAUUUUAAUUACUUAAGCAACAACCAACCAGUGGUAAAAAGAUCUGCAUAACACUAUCCUUGUUUUAAUAAAAAACGACAUUUGUAGUUUCAUCAUGAGAAAGCAAGACAGUCACAUGUUGCCGACCCUCCCAUUGAUCGAAUUGGGUAAAUAAUAUUAGUGUGUUGUUUUAUUUAUCGUUAUUGUUUUGAAUAUGGCUGUGAUGUUGCUCCACAUUUAAUUCUAGGACUGUUGUUGUUGUCGUUGUUGACAACUUUGUUCAUUGAUUACUAUUUCUUUUACUUCACACAUCUAAGUUUUAUUGAUGUGAUUAUUUAUUUGAAUUCACAACACAUAUAAUUAUAUAAUAAAAUAUUCUAACAUCACUCACUCCCCUAAAAAGAAUAGUUCGAACAUCAUAUUCAUUUUAACAUAUUGUUUUUGCUAAUUUAGACUGAGCAUGGUCGACGGUACAUACGUUUCUACGGCUCAUUUUCAUUUGUAUCUCCUCACUGACCCUACUCCUUCAGAAUAUCACAUACACAUGUUCUACCUACCAAAUUGGGAGAGGAAAUGUGGCAAAAUGGAGUCCACGGGAAGUAAAGGAACAAGAUCGAUAUGAUUAAUUUCAGUGUGGUUGUUGUUGUAGUAUAAAUGAACAAUACAAUUGUGGUAAUAAUAAUUCUAUGUUACAGAUGUUCUUACGCAUUGGCCAAUCUUUCGAUAUAAUUAUAACAAUAGUAAUAUUGAUACUAUUUUUUAUUAAUAUUCUUAUAUUAAAUUCUGUAUUUGUAGUUUGCUAAAAAAAUUAAUUUAAGUUUAUUAGUCCAUAUUAAUUUUUUUAUAUAUUUAGAUAAGUUACAACAAACUACAAGUAAAAUUUAAACCUUAAAUUUUUUGAUAAGUUAGAUUUAUGUCUUAUAAAACCUAAAUAGUAGAAAAUAAAUAAAUAAUUUUGAUUGGUGUCAAAUCACGUGUAUAACUCUACUCACUUUAUUGAUAGGUAAAUAAGAGUUGUCAUUUCUUUACUUGGUGCCAAAGUGUAUAUUUUUGUUAUACGAUUCACUAUCGAAAAAACGGUAGGGCAUACUUUGAAAAGUUAUUAACAGUUAUCCAAAAUAUAAGGCCAUGCAUAUAAGUUUGAAUCACAACACUUCUCAAUUGUGCAUUCAAAGUGAAUAAACCAAUAUGAUUUCCCAUUCCUUCUCAUUAGCUAUGAUUUUGCUCCUAUUUCUUUUCAUUUUUCAGCUUCUCUCUUACUUAAAGAGAAACAAGAAGUUGCAUGCACGAUUACCACCUCACCCUCCAAGUCCACCAGCAAUACCAAUAAUUGGACAUCUUCAUCUCCUCAAACCACUCAUUCAUCAGGCCUUUCGCCACCUCUCCGAUCAAUAUGGCCCUUUAAUAUCCCUUCGACUUGGCUCCUCUCAAUUUAUCAUUGUUAACACUCCAUCACUCGCCAAAGAGUUUCUCAAGACACAUGAGCUCACUUAUUCUCACCGUAAAAUGAGCAUAGCCAUCAACGUAGUUGCCUAUGAUGAUGCAACUUUUGCUUUCGCUCCUUAUGGGACUUAUUGGAAAUUUAUUAAAAAGCUCAGCACCACUGAGCUCUUGGGUAAUCGAACCAUGGCACAAUUUCUACCGAUUCGAACCCAAGAACUCCAUGAAUUCAUUCAAACUUUGGCAAAUAAGUCUAAGGCAGAAGAAAGUGUGAACCUCACACAAGCUUUGAUAAAGCUUUCCAACAACAUAAUAUCACGGAUGAUGUUGAGUAUUGAUUGCUCAGGAACAGAUAACCAAGCAGAACAAGUUAGGGCUUUGGUUCGCGAGGUAACACAGAUUUUUGGAGAAUUUAAUGUUUCAGAUUUUAUAGGAAUUUUCAAGAACUUUGACUUGCAAGGUUUUAAAAAGAGGGCCUUGGACAUACACAAAAGGUAUGAUGCUUUGUUGGAUAAGAUUAUUUCUGAUCGUGAAGAACUAAGAAGGGAAGCCAAGCUAAUAGAUGGUGGUGGUGAGAAUGGUGAAGAAGAGAGACUGAAAGAUUUUCUUGACAUUUUGCUAGAUGUCUACAGUGAGAAAGACCGUGAAGUCAACUUUACUAGAAAUCAUAUCAAAUCAUUAAUAUUGGUAACUUCACACGACACACAAGAUAGUAACUUCACACGACAUCAACUAUUCUUGGUUACCUGCAAGUUACUCAUACGAAGAGCAGCAUUUUCAAGCAGAAGGGGUGAGAUUUCACAAAACAAUAAUAUCAAGCAUAUAAUUCAAUAAUUGUAUUUAACAACAUAAAUAACUUCAUCUAUUAGUAAUAAUAAUUCUUCAUGUAAUAAUUCUUAAUAGUUCAACCAACUUCUUAAUAUAACAACAUAAUAACAUCACAAUCAAUAUCAUAAACAACAUAGCAACAUCAUAAGCAACUUGACAACGUCAUGAACAUCGUAUAAUCUUCAUAGGUACUUCUUUAACAACACAUGGGUAGAAGACAACUCAGCAACUCAUAGAUGAUAAUUCAUUAACAGCUUAACAACUCAUGGAUGAUAAUUCAUCAACAACGACUUUGACUCGACAAAUGCGACUCCAACUCGACUAUGCAACUUAGACCUCUUAUAUGCAUGUGGUACCAAUUCAGGGCAUGAGCCCCCAAAGGUUAUUGAGUAUUAAUAUACUUCCAGGGCAUAAGCCUCCAUCGCUAAUUUGAGCUAAAGCUCCAUCGUGGUGAGUACAAAGCUCCAGGGCAUGAGCCCCCAACAAAUGUAUGCUAAUGCAUGGACUCAAUCUCUUAAACAUCAUAAUCAUCAUCUCUUAUAUUAGUCCAAUAAUUUGGAACAUCAUCAUCUUCAACAACUUAGACAACAUCAACAACUUAAGACUCCAAUACUUUUGAAUACUUUGGAACGACAACUUACAACUUAACAACUUAGACCAACACCUGCAACUUGAUCAAUAUUCAAUAGCAACAGAAACAGCACAAGCAAUUUCCAUCAUAACAAUAUUAAUGUGAAGCAUCAACAACUUAAACAUCAUACAUCUUCCACAUAAGGCAUAUAAAUAUUUCACAUAGCCAACAACAGCAACAUAGGCAGCACGUAAACAUCUCAAGAUCUAACAAUAUCAAAUGAUAAUCAACAACAACUUAAACAUCUUAUAUAAUUCACAUAAUGUAUAUACAAAUAUAUUACAUUACCAUCAACAUCAAAUCAUAUUCAAAUAAUUCUCAAGUAAUGCAUAAAACAUUAUAUCACAUCAUAAUCAACAACAACACAUCUUAAACAGCUUCACAGAUUAUAAUUAACUUCUUAUAUAGGUCACAAUACUACCUAGGGGUCCAUCUCUAAUCAAUUCAUGCAACACAGAUCGCAACAUCCUAACUUGCACUCAGUUCUCUUAAAUCCCAAAUCUUAAUAUUCUAUUCUAAUAUAUACAUAAAAUAUUUCUACAACAAAUCAUAUAUAUAUUUCUAUAACAAAUAACAUAUAUUUCUACAAGUCACUCGUAUAUAGUUGAUGCUCACUAAGUCACUCAUAUAUAUAUAUAUAUAUAUAUAUAUAUAUAUAUAUAUAAUCAAAGCAUAUAUAUAUAACUAGAUGAAAACAUUGAAAUAUGCGAUGAAAAAGUAACAAAAUUCAAAAUCAAAGCAUAUAUUAAAAGAAAUACAAAAUGGUUGUGAAACUUUGACCGUGAAUUACUUGAGAAUUGCAAAACAUGAUAUUUAGGAUCGAAAGCCACGGUGAAGAAGAGAGGAUGUUGUGAACUCAUAAUCUUUUCAAUAAAAAAAUAAAAAAACUAUAGCACAAAUAUGGUAAAGUAAGACAUCACAAAGCCUAUUCCAAAUCCAUGCAAAAAUAUAUUGCUCCUUUAGUAUUCCAAACAAAAAUGGAAAGAAAACAAACUUUUGGUAUUUUUUCCAACCCCUCUCUCAAAAACCAUAUAAUAUUUUUCACUUGGUUAUCCUCUCAUUUAUAUAGCCCAAUGUGUGAAUAUCAUAAUGAUACACAGGUUACAGACAAAAAAGCAAUAAAAAACAAAACUUAAAAUUAUAAAUGUAGAGAAUUUAUUAGAUAACCCUAAUAAAAAAUUUAGAACAAAAAUUAGAUACACCCUAGUAAGAUGACCCACCUUUGGGAAGAGUCUAUUAGACGGCCCUAUUAAUAAUGUAGAAAAUUUUUCGAUACUCUUCAACACAUAAUUUUCUCUCUAUCUCUCUUCUUAUGAGAUUACCAAUAUAUUACAUCUAUCACACCACUCUUUUUAUAUAUAUAUUUUUUAAUGUAUAUAAUAUAAUGGGGCAAUACUUACAUACAAUACCUCAAGGUAGUGUUGAAACAGUUCCUAACAUAAUUUUUUCAAAACAGUGUCCAUUAUGAUGCUUACGUAAGUCAUAUUUUUAAAAUUUUCUUAUAUUUUACUUUAGUUCAGAACCGGAUAAACAGUUCUUAAAAACCGUACUUAAGUUUCUUUCAUAUAAUGGUGUUUGGAAGUUUAUUGAUUAUUUUCCUCGUAGAAAUUACGGGUAGCAUUUGGAUGAUAUAGAGUUAGGUGACAUUGGUCAAUCACAAUGUCACAAUAUUUGUGAAAGAGAGAGAAACGCAAGCAUUGUGACAUUAUAAUUGGCCAAUGUCACUCAACUUUACUCCCUCUGUUCCAAAAUAUAAGCAAAUUUUACUUUUUAGGUUCAUUCAAUUAAUGAUGUAUGUGGUCCAUAAUAUGAAUCACAUACAUCAUUAAUUGAAUGAACCUAAAAAGUCAAAUUUGCUUAUAUUUUGGAACGGAGGGAGUAUGUAGAGCUGUCAAAACGGGCGGCCCGACCUUAACGGACUUCGGCUUUAUCGGGCCGGGCUAAAAAGCCCGGUUGAAAAACGGGUUUGAAAUAUACUACCCGAGCCCGACCCUCCACGGGCCGCGGGCUAAACAGGCCGACCCAUAUUAAAAAUUACAUUUUUUUUUUUAAAAAGUACUAUAACUAUAGACUGACUAUAUAAGAAAGUUUUAUAAGACAUCUAAUCAUAAUCUACCACGUCAUUAUAUCGCUUUAUAAUUUUUUCCUGAUGGAAUCACAGGUCAUAAGUUAUCAACACUGUGAAGAUGGUGAAAAUAUGAUUGGAUGUUUUCUAAAAAAUUUGUAUAUUGUCGGGAUAUAGGAGUAGCAUUAGUUUCAUUUCAUGUUUAGCGGGUAUAAAGGAAUCAACAUUUCCAUGUCAACAUAUCCAUGUCCUAUUACAGUAACACAUCCAAAUCAAAUGCUAAUAAAAAAAUGUGAAAGUAAAAAAUAGAUUAUUAAAUUUAUGUGUUAAUGCAUUGAAUUUUCACUUUUAUUUUUUACUUUGAUGAUCAACUAAGUAAAGAAUUAUUUAAAAUAUAAAUAUAAUUUAUAGGAUUUUUUUAAUUAUGCGGGCUAACGGGCUAUCCGCGGCCCGUUCGGACUAGCCCUAACGAUACCGGACUUUUUAAGGCCGGGCUAAAAAGUCCUAUUAAAAUUCGGGCUCAAUAUUUAAGGCCCAAACCCUAUAAUUAAUCGGAAUAAACGGACCGGCACAUACAGCCCGACCCAUUUUAACAGCUCUAGGAGUAUGUCACCCAAAUGCUAUUCAAAAAUUACAAGCAUACGACAAAUAUCAUAAAGUUGUACUCAACCUAAUAACAUGCCGUAGGAUCCUAAUAAAUAUACAUGUCAUGUUUUUUUUUUGAGAGAAAAAUACAUGUCAUGUUAUUAACUGAAUCAUCAAUGAGAAAAUAAAAAAUGAAACCACACAUAAAGAUAUACGAGGAAUGUUAACAAAACUUGUAGCUUUUCAUGGAAUCUCUAUAGAUUGAAUAAGCAUAGGAUCAUAUAGUUUCUCCCAACUUCUUUUUCCCCUUCAUCUUUUAAUUUUUUUACACAGACCACUUGUUUCUUACACAGCCAUUUUGGGGGGAAAUAAAAUUAUAUCAUCAAGAAUCUCAUCCAACACGGUUAAAAUCGUUGUCUAAAAACCAAAGGUUCGUCUUAUUAGCAUUAUGCUGUUAAAAAUAAUGGGUAAUGCUACUUCUCACUAACUAGUAGCGGAGCAGGAAUUUUAUAGAGUCUGAGCAAAAUUUUGACCGCAAAUUCACAUGUAACAUAAUAUAUAAAUAGUCAUAAAUUGAAAUAAAAGAAACUCGUCAUUUUUUCGAUAAAAGUACAAUUUGAAACAAGAGAGAUGAAACAUAAUCUGCCAAUAGUGUGCUAAAUAAAAUUAUGAGGUAAAUGCCCUUUCGAAGACCUCUUUGCGGUGAGUGUUUGAAUAAUAUCAACAUUAUCAAGUUACUUGAAUAUCUCCCGCUCGGUGUAACAUAUCAUCAAGUCAUUGAACCACACAUCGUUGAUCUUGUUGGUAGCAAUUCUUUCCCACGAACAUAUAAGAUUAUUUUACUAGAAUAUUGACAGGGUUUGAUAACUAGUGGACUUCCAACUUUUGUUGAUUUUGGUAAUAGCUUUGGUGCACUUGCUAUUGUUGAAGAUCCACAAAUUAGAAGUUAAAAUCUGAUUUAUUAUGCCAUGUUGUAGAAGGGAUUGUAGGUUUUUUUUUUAGGUAUAAAGUGAUUUUAAGUUGUAACUUGAUAUUAUGUUAUUUUCUCCAAUAAGCUAUUAUGAAUAGUGAUUCAAAUUUUGUUACCAUAAAUUAAAUGAGCAAUGUAGUAUAUAUAGAUUUUGAUUUCUCUGAGUAUUGAGUAUUAGUUUUGGUGAAUGGUAUAACAGUUCAUAGUUGGGGAGAAUUAUUCUAGUUAAGUCACUUCAAGAAUAUAUUCUAAAAAUUGAUUAUAGCUAAUCAAUUUAAAAUUCCAGUGAUAUUGAUUAUAAUAUUUUAUUAUAUUGAUCAAACUAAUUUUAGUGUUCAUUUUAUGAAUUAUUCAUUUUUAGAAUAUCUAGUAGAAUAGAAAAUAUAAGAAAUAAAAUAAAACAAUGAUAAAUUUUAGUGACAACCACAACCGUAGGUAGAAGCCAUAAUGUAUUUAAAAUGGUCUCCUUAGAAUUAUUGUGUUUUGUUCGUAGGUAAAUGUGAAAAGCAUGCAGUGACGACCAUUUGACAAUGAUAGUUAGAUUUAGCUACGAAAUUUUUUCCUAUAGUGACGGAUUUUGGCUGUUACUACAAGUCAAAUUUAUUGUAGCCAUACAAAGAAAGUAUGGGUUGAGCCCGGGUACGUGCCCAAACUAGCUGGAUGUGUAAUUCUGCCCUUGUCACUAACAACUUUCUAGUGAAAAGAUCACGAUCUCUUUGGAAGUUUUUUUUUUUUUUUUUUUGUCAAGUAGCCUAGUGGCUAAAGCUCACACAAUUUAAUUGUGAAAAAGUGGAGUGUUCGGGGUUCAAACCUCGGACCCUACAUAUAAAAUGCAAUAUCCCUAUCAACUGAGUUAAACUCACGGGGAUAGUAUUGUUUAUUGUAAUUGUAGCAAAGACUCUUUUUUUUAUUUUAUUUUAUUUAACCAUCCAUGAUUUCCAUCAAUUUAGAUCCAACGAUGGCAAUCAUUUCACGAGAGAUUCGUGAUUUUUUAUUUCGCUAUUAAUAGCAGUGCUGUAAAAAAAUUGACUAAACUAUGUAUGUAAAAAAUAUGUCCAUAUUGUUUUUGUUAAGAAGCGUAUCGACUAGAAAUUCACCUAUUUUAGGUGAAUAAAUUGGAUGUCUGGGUUCGAAUCUGACCCAUGUGUAUAUUAUAUAAUGUCUCUGCUAAUUGAACUAAGUUCGCCAGUUACACUACAUAUUUUAAAGCAUUAUUGGUUCAAGAAUGCUAUAUAACUUUUUUUUUAACGGCUCGGGAAUGAUAUAACUAAAUCAAGAGAUAAAUUGAUUUUAAAUUUACAACUUCAAAGAAACGAUUAUUUGGGAAAUUAAUAUCUGAAGAACACACUUCGUGUCCGUAUGAAAACACUUUGGUUCAUAUGAAAUUGAAAAUGAAAAUGAAAGGUGAGUGGUCUCAUUUGAUUGAAGCUCUUUAAGCAAGACACACACAUUGAUACAAUUACAGCAUGAAAGUUUAAAUAAAUUUCUCAUUUCUGUUGAAAAAAAUAAUAUCCCCACAUUUUUUUAGAAUUAUAAUAUUCCUCUAAUUAGAGACAAAUUUAUAAUGAAAAAUCGACGGCAAAGAGUAAAAGAGUGAUCUAUGUACAAGAAAACAUGGACAUGGAUGAAUCGAAAUCUUAAAUAAAUUUAUGUUUAUUUAAAAGGGAAAUCUUAAAUAACGUAGCAUGUGUUUGUAGUAAAUCUUCCAUAGAUACACUCACGUAAAAGUAAAAUAUUGGAUUGCGUUCUUUUUCAAUCAUUUUUGAAAGAAUUAAAAGAUUAAACGUAUAAUCCAAGUUUUUGUGAGGCUGAAUGAAAGCUCUAUAAAUGGACUUGUGAGUUAAUAUACAUUAUUCUCUUCUCUUAACAAAAAUACAUUGUUAAUGGAUGGAUAUACUUAAAUAGAUAUGGACAAGGCUGUUUAUGAGAUUUUGAUGGUCUACAAAUGAACUUACAAUUUGGAUCCUAACUAAUAAGUGUAUAUAAAAAAGGGUUAAUUAAGUUUUUGGUCCUUAUAAAUAUCUGUAUUUUGAUUUUAGUCCCUAUAAAAACAAAUCAUACUUUUUAGUCCCUACAAAAUUUUUCAUUAGUGUUUUUAGUCCAUGUUAAAUUAAAAUUUGUUUAAUUAUGCUUAAACUUCUAAAUUUUUGAAAGAUUUUUUUACAGACAUGUUCAUAACAUCGUAAGACACUCUUUUAUAAAAUAUUUCAGUUUUUUAACAUGUAAUGAAUUAAAUAUGAAUUUUUCUAAAAGCCAAACUUUCAAGAUUAUAUUAAUGAAAAGGCUAAAAUAUGGUUUUAGUCCCGGCAAAUAUGUCUCGUUUUGGUUUUAGUCCCUGUAAAAAAAAAAUUGUUUUUGGUCCCUGCAAAAUUUUUUGUUUUUGAAAAUAGUCCCUGGGACUAUUUUCAAAAACAAAAAAUUUUGCAGGGACCUUUUUAAAAAAACAAAAUAUUUUGCAGGGACCAAAAACUACAAAAUGGGUUUAGUCAUCAUGUGCCACGUAUGCAAAUCAUCACAAAAAUGGGGUCAGAGACUAUUUUUAAAAACAAAAAUUUUGUAGGACCAAAAACAAAUUUUUAUUUUUACAGUGACUAAAACCAAAACGAGACAUAUUUGCAGGGACUAAAACCAUAUUUUAGCCUAAUGAAAAUUUGGACCUAAUAAUAAAAUUUUGAGCUAAUUUUUUGCGGAGGAACUUUGUAUAAUGUUCUAAAUAAGUAUGUAAAAAAUAUGUUAAAAAUUUAAAAGUUUAAGAACAAUUAAGCAAAUUUUAAAUUUACAAGGACUAAUAGUAUGUGUCUGUCCCUGUUUAAUUAUACUUAAACUUUUAUAUUUUUAAAUGAUUUUUAAUAGACAUGUUAAGAACAUUAUAAUAAGCUCUUUUAUAAAAAAAUUAUAAUUUUUUAACAUGUAAUGAAUUAAAUAUAAUUUUUUAAACGCCAAAAAUUCAAGAUAAAACUAACGAAAAUUUGGACCGAAAAAUAAAAUUUUGAGCAAAAAUAAAAUUUUUUAAUGAUUUUUUACACACUUGUUUAAAAAAAAAUUAUUUUUUAAACAAGUGUGUAAAAAAUCAUUAAAAAAUUUAAAAUUUUAAUUUAACAGGGACUAAAAAUACGUGCUGAAAAAUUUUAUAGGGAGCAAAAUCUGUUAAUUUUUUUUUUAUGAGGACUAAAAACGAAAUUCGAUAUAUUUAUAGAGACUAAAAACUUAAUUAACUCUCUGAAAAAAUUGAAUUAUUAAAAUGUGAAGAUAAUUUUCUUGAAGAUGAUAAUUUUUAUUACGUUAGGAAAAGUCUUUAAUAUGUCAUCUUUUAAUUAAAAUGUAUAUGGUUUUAGCAUUUCCUAAUUUUUUUAUUUAUUUAAUGAACCCUUAAUUUUAUAUUUUAUGACCCAAAUUUUAAAUUUAUUUUUUAGGACCUAGAACGGUCGUCCUCCUCACCCUGCCUUAAAUACGGCUCUUAAUAUGAACAUUAAUAUGAGCAGUGAAGAUAAAAACAAAGAAAAUUUCGUAACCCAUAAAAAUUCAAUUUAUUGAUAUGCUCCUGUAUGAAGCGCAGUGGGUGAAUUCAAUUAUUGAUAUGCUCCUGUAUGAAGAAGUAGUUGGUGAAUUGAAUGUUCCAUGUUUUGACACGUAUCAAAUUCCUGAGGCAGAGGAAAUUAUGAAGAUAUUGGACAAGAUAAAAUCUUAACACACGUAAUACAUCCGAUUAUAUUUUUUUAAGAGAUUAAAAUGUAAUUAUAUUACCUAAUCAAAGUGUUAUUCGUAACAUAUAUAUAAAGUAUGGAAAAUAGAAAAACUGAAACAAAAAAAGAUAAAGAAAGAAAUAAUAUUAACCGAUGUCCAAUAUAGUAAAUGGAUUAAGCCAUCAAAUAUGGUAGUUGAAAGAGAGAUUUACUAUUUUUACCUUUAACCAAAAAUAAGUAAGUGACUUAAUCUUAUCAACAAUCUGAUAUGUCGAACAUUCUUUGUCAUUGAAAAUUCUGCUAUUUCUUUCUUUCCAUAUUUCCCCCACAGUAGCAUACCAAAUCAAAUGCAAAAUAGAUUGUCGCACCUUAGAGCAAUUGCCACCAACAAAACCAAACUGAGUGAGGUAAUUCGCAAGCUCUCUAGGGAUGACCGAGCAGACAUCCAACCAACGAUGAAUAAAGUGUCAGACUUCCCCAAAAAGAUGACAAUGUAAAAAUAAAUCAGGGGAAGUUUCCAACGAACCGCAGCCACCAACGCACAAUCUAGCAUCAGAGGAAAAAGAACGACCUUCAUAGGAAUAUCCUUAUGUCAUAGAUCCUUCGUAGGAACGCAGUGUCCGUAUGAUGCUGAUGAACCAGGAUUUUAUAACUUAUAAGCACUCCUAACAGUGAAAUCAUGACUCGAUUCCAGUGUCCAAAGCCACAUAUCCUCUUUAUUAACCUGCAAAGUCACAUUUUGAAGUAAUAAACAAAGUUCUUCCACCAGAUCCUCCUCCCACGCGAACAACCUCCGCCUCCACGUCCACGCCUCACCAUCCCCCCAGCCUAACUUACACAUAUUAAACACAUACACCUCAUUAAGCAAUGACAAAUCAAACAUCCGAUUAUAUUUAUAAGCAAAAAAUAAUUUUUUUUAAAUUUAUUGAAUACUUAAUAUAUAUCUAAUCAUAUUUAUAGACCAGAUAUAUUAGUUAUUCAAUAAACUUAACAAGUUAUCUUUUGCUUUCCUUCAAAAAAAAAUAUUUUGCUUAUAAAUAUGGGUCAUGUUAACCGGUGUCUACGGGGCACUGGUUAAGGAAACUAAAAAAAGAUAGUUUUAAAAUAAAAGUAACACUUUUUAUACUUUUGAAAAGUUAACAACACAAGUUGCAAUGUAGUACUUAUACUACAUUUGACUCUUUAAUCAGUGCCCCGGAAACACUGAUUAUCCUGAAGGCAUUGAUUAACAUCACCUAUAAAUAUAACCAAAGAAUAAUGUUUAUUUUGAUAUUUUUUUUUGAAGGAAAUGUUUAUUUUGAUAUGUAUAGAACAGGUGAAUGUUGUUGAUUUUUUUUUUUUUUUUUAGGGAAGGUGAAUGUUGUUGAAUUGAGUGGUCCAUGUUUUGGUAUUCAUAUCUAAUGCACGGAAGCCACUUUUUUUUUUUUCUUUUUUUUUUAGUACAUAGACGAAAUGGAUACGGUAGCCACUUUAAAUUAUGAAGAUCUUUUUUUCUUUUUCUAACUGAAAAUUGAAAAAUUAUGAUGAUAAUUGGGCAAUGUGUAUAGUAAAUUGGCAUGCACGAGUGAUAUGAUUAAGUUUAUUAUUUUAGAUUUUAAUUAAAAUUUGGAGUCUUAAACAUUUCUAUUUAAUACUCUUUUGGGGGGAAUCUAAGUCCACAAAAUUUAGAGUCCUUGUACAAUAUAGUCCACGUAGUACAUGAGUUAAGCCGGCCCUACACUUUGUGUGCAUUUAACAACCUAGCUGAUCAUUAUCAAAACAAAAAUUCACAUUUUAAAUUGAUUUGCUAAAUGAUUUAUGUUAUUUAUAUUAUGAGUUAGAAUCUGUUAAUACUAAGGUAAUUAAAAUCGGAUCGGACGUUGAACCGGUGAAGGCAUGGGUUCAAGGUUUAAGGGUUCGACUGGAGGUUCGACCGGGGUUUAACCGGUUAUGAUUAAAUGUAAUUUUAAAAUUUAAAUAUAUUAUAUAAAUAAUAAUAAAUAGAAAAUAACAAAGUUUUUGUAACCUUAUAUCAUUUAAAAAAUAAUUUAGUAUCAAUUUUGAAUCUCCCAUGAACACGUUUUAAAAAGAAAUAAGUUGUUUUUCUAUAUAUAAGAUAUGUUGGACUGUUUAGUCUACCUAUGAAUACUUUUGGCACCCUCUUGUAUUUAUAUGGUUUUAUUAGACUUUGAAUACUUUUAGCCCAGGCCCAUUUAUCCUAACCCUAAAAUACUAGAUGAAAAUGAGGAGCAGAAUUCACUCAGCCGUCAGCCACUCAGUCUUCUCUUUAUUCUUUGUUCUUCAAGUUCUUUGAUAAAAAAAAAGUGCAAUCUUCAUUCUUUUUGUGCAUCUCUACCUACAGGCUACAGAAACAUCGUUUUUGCUCGUUUUUUUCCUGGAAAUAAACCAAAAAAACGGUUUAACCUGCUGAACCGCAAAACCUCCGGUUUUCCGGUUUUCUUCCGGUUUAGCGGUUUGUUCCCGGUUCUGUAGCAGAGCGGUUUUUAUACGUUUCCGGACCGGAGAUAGAUCCGGUUCCCGGUUCAGCCGGUUGGACCGGCCGGUCCGGUUUUUAUUACCUUGGUUAAUACCAUACAUUAAAUUUCAACCAUUAUAAUUAUUUAAUCUAAUGAUUCAUAUUGUGUCAAUAAUAAAUGAAAAAAACACAUUAAGAAGUUAACCAGAGAUUGUCACUAUAUGAGAUAUUCUUUAAUUGGUAAUUAAUUUUUUUUAUUAUUAAUAUAAUAUGCGUCGUUUGAUAAAAUAAUUAUAAUUGUUGAGAUUUGGUGUAAGUCCAAUGACUUACACUUGAUGUCAACAUAUUCUUACUCUAUUAAAGAUAUAUAUGUAUAAAAGAGAAAGAAAAUAUACUUUUACAAAAUUACUCUUAUUACGUUACAAUAAUAUAAAGUGGAGGUUAUUUAUUUGAAAAUAAUGCUCUGAUGUUAAUUUUUAGGAAAAAUUAAGAUUGCAUUGAAAAUCAAAAUGUCAUUUAUUUCAGGGGAAAUUGUGAGAAGUAUUUGUGAUUAGUCUAUCAUAUUAUCAAUAAAUGAGAGAAUUAGGCCGACAAAAUGUCUUCUUUGAAGUCUCUAGUUCAUGAGCUAGCCUCUUGAUUAUGUGUUUAUGUUUAUGAAUUGGGUGCUAAUGUGACUCUUGCAAGGGUAGGUACGGUACAUGCCCACACAAGGGUUACUGUAGCUCUCUCCUCUCUCUGCGUGUGAAGCGAGAUGGAUAUUAUAUUAGAGUAUAUGUAUAUGUGUCGUAUUAGGUCCUACUUCUUUCGUCCCAUAAUACUUGAUACAGUUAACCUUAUUACGCAUGUCAAUGUAUAAUUUUGAGCUUAAAUAUCUUGAAUAAAAUAUAUUAGAAAAAUUAUGAAAAUUUUUAUAUUUUAAAAAUAUUCAUCGAAACAAAUCUAACGACUUAUAUGAUUAUUUAUGUUAUAUGAAGGAGUAUAUCUAAAGUGUGAGUUUUUACGUACUCAUUAAUUAUCAGUAAAUUUAAGGUAUCAAAUGAGUAUGAAUUCAAUUUUCAUCGGUAUAUUAUUUUGAGUGAAAUGAAAAAAAAUGACAUUCACAAUAAAACAUAAGAUUAUUCCAUUAGGUCUUAAUUAUAAGCAAAUAUUCAUUAUUUAGAUUUAUUCAAUAACUAAUUUAUUUAGUCUAAAGCUUUUUUUUUAAUUAGAGCCAAGAUCUUUCAAUUUUGCCAUUAAUUACCAAAGUUUUAGAAAUAUAAAUACAUGGACAUCUGUAACUUUUCAUAACUAUAAUAAUGGAGUCCCCUCAAAAAAAAAAAACUAUAAUAAUGGAGAGAAAAAAUAGGGACAAAAAAGAGAGGAUUCUAAGUUGCUUUUUUUCACUUGUAGUCAAAACCGACAAACCAACAAAUAAACCACAAUAAAUAUAAAUAUAAAUAUAUAUAUACACUUUCAGGCAGAGUAUAUGCUUGUAAAACAAUAGUUGUGUUCUUUUUCAAUCCUCCCAGCCAGCGUUCCGUUUUGGAUUUUGCAUAUAAAAUAAUAAAUGUGAUGUGAGAUAGGAUUUAUUAAAACAAUGACAAUGAAAUUAACCACAUUUCCACUUGUGGACUCCAUUUAACCACAUUUCCACUUGUUUCCUUAAAGAACUAGGCCUUUUUUCUGGUAGAACAUGUGGUAUUCCGCAUGACAUGUGAUCAGCACUCGGCAGUAUGCAUGGGUAGCAUUUAUACACUGAAUAUAUACCAUCAAACAUGCUGUUCUAAUUAAAUUUGAAGAAAGAAAUAUUAACUCUAUUUUGUCAGAAAAGAAAAUGAUGGUGGAACUUACUAUCCUUUUGUUGUGUAUAUUCACGCUCUAAAAUAAAUGGAGAGAAGAUCUUCUUCCAAUAAAGAGAGAAACUCUCUUCUUUUGGAGGCAUAAUAGUUUCUUCAUUCUAUAAUAGUAAUUAACAUGUUCGUAAAAAAAUUGUCUCCCAAUAAGGACACUUUUAAUUUUUAAGGUGAUAUUACUUAACAUGUCCCUCUCAAUUCAAUAUUUAUAAUUUUCAAAAAUUCCUAUAUUUAGGAACGACGAUAAUAAUUUUUUUCUCAAAAAAUAUUAAUGGGUGUCAUUAGGGCAUUGAUUAAAGUAAUAAAAUAAAUAAGAGCUACUCCAUCGCUUUGUUCUUCAAAUGCAAGAACAUCAUUUGUGUGAAGAACUUUUAUUUUUUAAAAAAAGUUAAAUUAACCCACCCAAAUUAACACGGGGAGAAUCAAAUUUGAAACCUUGAGAAGGAGCACACUCCCAGAUUCCAAGUUAAUACCACUAGACUAACUCAAAUAGAUUUAAAAGUGAAGAACAUAAUUUUGAUUCUAGUAUUGUAGAUGCUCUAAGUUUGCAUCAAAAAAUUAUGUAAUUAUCGUUAAGAUAAAAAUAAAAACUUGUAUUUUUAAGACAAAUUUUUUAUUAAUAGAUUCUUUAUAAGCUAUAAACUUAAAGCACUAGUUAACACAGCCAUUAUUUUUCGUGUUUGUUUUUGUUGAUGUUGUAGUGACCACGUCAGCCGCUGGUAUUGUUAGAGCAACUACUUCAACCGCUGGUAUUAUUGAUGUUACAUCAACUAUUUCAGUACUGGUAUUGAUGUUAUUUAUAUAUACAGAAACAAAAAAAAUUGACAGUCGUAUUCGACCAUUUUUAUUCUAUAUAGAUUCCAUCCAGUUAUAACUUUUGUUUUUUCUUUGAUUUUGGCUUGGAUGAAAUAAAUAUUAAAUACUACAUAAACUUUGUUUUGUAAAACCACUGUAUUUUGUCUUAAUUGUUUUGAAUUUAUCAAAUGGCUGACCAUUAUAUUUUGAUCUAGUUGUAACUUGAAUAUAUCAAAUUGGUUAUGCUUUUUUUUCAAAGAAAAGUGCUAAAUAUUUCGAGGCUUGUCAAGACGAAUUGAAACAAUGCAAGUGUAUAUAUAUAUAUAUAUAUAUAUAUAUAUAUCAGACUGCCUGUUUUUUUAGUUGGAUCUCCAAGUUUUUGGAAUGCUCCGAAUUCUACUUGAGCAUCCAAAUCUGCAAAAGUUAUUUUUCAUUGAAUCAUAUGAAUCGAUUUAGUAAUAACGAAAUUUCUGGUCUUUUAACUUUAGUGAAUCACAUGAAAUUUUACGGAGACGGAAUUGUUAGAGCGGAUGUUCCUUUUUGAAGGACAGAAUCGAAGUAUAGUGUCGAAAGCCUUCGUAUUUUAAUACACAUAUUUAAUUUAUUCGGAGCUAUUAGAGCGGGAUCCACUUUGAGGAAUAUGAGUCGAAGCAAUAACCAAAGAAACUUUAAACAUUUGAGUUUGGUUGAAAGGAAAAAAAGUGCGGAUAAUAUCUAUCCUUAAAUAGGAAUCUGUAUUGAUAUAUAUAUAUCAAUAAGGUGUACUGGUACUUUCCUACUUCAAAAAUCUUUAAAUUAAUUAUUAUUUUUAUGGAAUAAAGAGCUAUUUGUUGAUAUUUGUAUUUUAGAAAAUGUCAUUUCAUUAGAAAAAACAUCAUUUCAUUGUUUAUAAAAAUCAUACUAAUUUAUUUUACAUUUUAUUGUAAAAAAUAAUCAAAAUUCUCUAUUAUGAGUACUAAAAACUCAGAAAAAUUAAAUUUUAUUUCGUCGACGUUUUUGGUUAAUAAGAUUUAAUUAUUAUAAUUAUAGGUGAUGGAAAACAAUUUUUCUCUUCAAAAAUAACACAUUUAACUAUUAAUUUAUUGAUUGGGUGUACCAAUACACUCAAAUUUUUGAGUGUACCAUAGAAUUUGCCAUAUAUAUAUAUUUGUUCUGCACAUUGUUACAUAUACUAGCUGCCAACACAUGUAAAUGAGCUAAAUCAUAGAUUACACAACACAAGCAUGUUAUGCCCAUUUAUCGUUAUCCAUUUUCGUGUGGAUAGCUUGUGUGUCAGGGGUGAUAGAAUUUUGACUAUUAUUUUUUCCAUCCUAUUCAUUUUUCCCGAAAAUGUCACUAUAAGUUUAGGAUUCUAUUAUCCGAAUACAAUUUGGAUGUGUUUGGAUUAUAUCAAGAUAUUGUUUUUUAAGAAUAUCAAGGAAUGCUGAAAACGAAAACACGAACAUAAGCAUUUGAAUGAGAUUUUGUUGUGAUGCAUUUGAAAGAGAACGAUUUGUUGCGACACCUUUGAAGAAGAUUAAAUUACUGCAACGCAUUUGACAAGCUGGACGCCGCGUGAGUUUAGGUUCCAACUUUCUAUAACGUUUGGAUAACAUAAGGACAAACACAAAUCUUUUUAAAAAUAUUAAUGACCAUAACAUGUUAGAAAUAACUAAACUACAUUUUUAGUAAAACAUAAAGGAAAAUAAUAUUUGAGCAAAAAAAUAAAAUAAUUUAAAGAUCUUAUUACAACUUUUUUAAUUCAGUCUAAAAAACUUUUUUUCAAAUAUUUAUAAAUAGUUCAACAAAGACCUACAAAUUAAUAACUAGAUUAUUUCACACCAUACCAUAUGAAAGGUGCAAAAUGCUGAUCGUGGUCUUCAACUUUAUGUGACAACAAACAAAACUUGCCUUUGUAUACGGUUUAUUACUUAGAUCAACGAUUGUUUAAUUAUUGUUUCUAUAUUCCCCUGCUACCACUACUAUAUAAAUUAAAGCCCAUUGUGAAGAAAAAAAGCAUCCACCAAAGCCAAAGAAAAAGAAAAUGGGAUCCGAAGCAAACACUCAUAUCCUUCUUAUCUCUUAUCCAGCACAAGGACACAUAAACCCUCUUCUUAGACUAGCAAAGUGUCUUGCUGCAAAGGGUGCUUCUGUCAUCUUCAUCACAACAGAGAAAGCUGGCAAAGACAUAAGAACUGUUAACAAUAUCAUUGAAAAAUCACUCACUUCAAUUGGUGAUGGUUCUCUUACUUUUGAGUUCUUAGAUGAUGGUUUAGAAGAUGAUCAUCCUCUUAGAGGAAAUCUUUUAGGCUACAUAGAACAUCUCAAACUUGUUGGAAAACCCUUUGUUUCUCAAAUGAUCAAGAAUCAUGCUGAUUCAAACAAACCAUUUUCAUGUAUCAUAAACAAUCCUUUUGUUCCAUGGGUUUGUGAUGUAGCUGAUGAACAUGGUAUUCCUUCUGCUUUGUUAUGGAUUCAAUCAACUGCUGUUUUUUCUGCUUACUAUAACUAUUUCCACAAACUGGUACGUUUCCCUUCACAAACAGAACCUUAUAUUGAUGUUCAAUUACCUUUUCAAGUUCUUAAAUACAAUGAAAUCCCAGAUUUUCUUCAUCCUUUUAGUCAAUUUCCAUUUCUAGGGACACUCAUCUUAGAACAGUUUAAGAAUUUGUCUAAAGUAUUUUGUGUUUUAGUAGAAACCUAUGAAGAACUAGAGCAUGAUUUCAUUGACUAUAUUUCAAAAAAAACAAUUUUCGUAAGACCCAUUGGUCCAUUGUUUCACAAUCCAAAUAUUAAAGGUGCAAAAAAUAUUCGUGGAGAUUUUGUUAAGAGUGAUGAUUGUAAUAUUAUAGAGUGGCUAAGCACAAAGCCAAAAGGUUCUGUGGUUUAUAUUUCUUUUGGGUCUAUUGUGUACAUUCCACAAGAACAAGUGAAUGAAAUUGCAUAUGGGUUAUUGGAUUCUCAAGUAUCGUUUUUGUGGGUAUUAAAACCACCUUCGGAGGAAUUAGGGCUAAAAGAACAUAAUUUGCCAGAUGGGUUCUUAGAGGGAAUAAGUGAGAGAGGAAAAGUGGUGAACUGGAGUCCACAAGAAGAAGUACUUGCUCAUCCUUCAGUGGCAUGCUUCAUAACACAUUGUGGUUGGAAUUCAUCAAUGGAAGCACUUUCUUUGGGAGUUCCAAUGUUGACAUUUCCAGCAUGGGGUGAUCAAGUCACAAAUGCAAAGUUCUUGGUAGAUGUUUUUGGUGUAGGGAUUAGAUUGGGUUAUGGUAUGAUUGAAAAUAAAUUAGUAACAAGAGAUGAGGUGAAAAAGUGUUUAUUGGAAGCUACAACAGGGGAAAAAGCAGAGGAGUUGAAGAAAAAUGCAAUGAAGUGGAAGAAGAAGGCGGAUGAAGCAGUGGCCAUUGGUGGAUCCUCUGAUCGGAAUCUUGAUGAAUUUAUGGAAGACAUUCAGAACCGUUGCAAUAUUUUUUUUGAAGAAGUUAAAUUAGUCCACUCAAAUUGACACCGGAGAUAAUAGAACCUGAGAUCUUGAGGAAAAACACACUCCCAAGUCUCAAGUCAAUACCACCAUAUCAACCUAAGUGGGUUACAGGAGAACUCUGGCAAUAUUAAUAUUGAGAAGAUGUAAUUUUAUUUUUUAUUUUUUGAAUGAUGAAGAUGUAAUGUAAUGUAAAGUUUCAAUAUGAUAAUUUGCCCUGUCUUUAUUUGUUGCAGAAAAUGGACAAUUACCACACAUUUCACAUUUGUAUGCAAAAUCCAAAUAGGAUUAAGUUUUGGGUGGCAUUUCACAUGGGAAAGGCCAAUUCUUUCCCACCAUGGACAACUUUUGAUCAACCAUCAGAUUUUAGAGUAUAUUACAUGUUACUAUAUGUCUCUCACACCGGAUCUAAUCAUCUAUCCUUUACACCUCAUCUCCUUCUUUGUCCAAGUCCAACCACCACCACUAAUGUUCAUCAUCAUCUUCAAUUUUUUAUCAUCAUCAUCCUCAUUACUCAAACCCAUCCAACAUUUUUUCUGCUCAAACCCAUUUUAACAAAUACCUCAUGCAUCUAGUGUAAGCCUCUUGUUUGUUCUCUUUCGGCACAAGAAAAUAAAAAUAAAAAAUCUUCAUUCAAGUAAAAAGCUACUAGUACAGCAAUGGAGUUUUCACUUUUUAGUUCUAGAAUCAGAUGAUUUUUUGCUAAAAAAAACUACUACAACAAUGGAGUAUUUUUUGAGAUCUGGAAUCUUAUAUUCAAAUCUACAAUGGCUUUAAAAAAUAAAAGAUAUAAGUUUCUUCAUUUCCGGUAUGAAUGAUACCAAUUCUCAAAACCAAAUGCAAAAGCAUUAACUGAAUUCCUGUCUUUUAUGACAGUCAUGUAUUGAUCAAGAAGCAAGAAGCAAGAACUUGUCAUUUUGUUGAUUUGUAAAAUUCUCAAAAUAAAUUUUACAGAUUUUACAAAUAAAAAAGAAAGCCACAUCUAAAUGAAAUUAUUUGUGUGUUUCUAAAUUUCCAGUUCGAAAACAAUUAAUCUGUACAUAAGCAUGACCAACUUGGCCAGGAGGUGUGGUGUGGAUUGUAGAGGUUGAGGAUAAAGGGUGGUGGAAAGGGUAAAAGAAAUAAUCUAAUGCUGGCAGUGUAUGAUAAGAUUGUGUUCUUCAAUUAAUCUGACGACCAAAAUUAACUUUUUUAUGGUGGGAAAGGAUUCACCUUUCCCAUGUGAACACACACCUAAGUUUUGUUAGGAGAGCAUAGUAAUAAUUGUACCAUGUAACUCUUUGGACAUAACAUCAUGGAAACAUAAAUGAUUGGGUACUAUGAUUCGAUGAUUUGUUGGUAUAUGGUCCCCGUGUCCCUUGUUUGUAAGUCAUUUUGAAUAAAAAUUCUCUAAAUACUCCUUAUUAAUAUUAUUAAGUCUAAAUACUCAUUCCUUAAUUUUAAGUGUAUUCUAAAAAGGAAAAUUCUAUGUUGAAGUUAUUAAAAUGACUUUUCUUGUGAAGUUAACAAUAUAACAUCAAAAGUGUUGUGAGUAACACCCCACUGUUUGUACAGUGACAUCAAAAGUUCAGUCCCCUUAGUAUCAUCAAUUCAUCAGAUUAACAAGAAUACACUUAAUCUAAUUUUAUCCUACUUUGUUUUAAGUGUAACACCCCACAAAGUGUAACACUCACAUGAUAUCAGCAACUCUGUUUGCAUGUUAAAGAUGCCAACGAAUAAAUAGUACCUGUAUUACUAUUGAUCAUUAAUCAACAAUUUUAAAAUGAAUCAAACAUUAAGAUUAAAAUUAACUUUUUCAGAAAAGUCAGUUUCAUGACUGCACCGUAGAAGCUCCCUUCUAAAAAUUCCUUCAAAAAAGUGUGUUUAAAUUAAAAAAAAAAUUGUCCUUAGGGAAAAUUAUAUACCCCUUAUUCAUACGUAUCUUGAAAUAUAAAAAGUUAACAUUAAGGGAAAAUUACAGUCACCUCCAAUCAAGUCUAUUGAAAUCACACUGACACCCCCUCUAGUUUUAAAUUUUACAUUAAUCUCCCUUAAGUUAUCAUGUAAUAGACAAACACAUCCCCUCAUUAUUAACACCGUUUAACUUUUUGUUGAUAUUUUUCUCACGGUCAGUUUCAUCUCAUGAACCUUCCCGAUCACUGUCAAACAGAAAACUGCCGCCUCCAACAACGGUUGAUAACAAACCUCGAUCAUUGCUUUCACUGCUUCGUCCUCUUUCCAUCAACAAACGCAAAUGCUAAUGCCUUAAAUUCCUAAUCAUGUUUUAGCAUUUGUAAUGGGUGCUCAUUCAACUAAUGGUUGACAAGCCUUGACUUAGCCCUUGAUUCUCGUGGUGCUAUAUAUAUUUGGAUCGGUAAAAAAUUGUAGUUCGAUUAUGCGUUGUAAUGCAUGAUCAGUAGCUACAGAGGUUAUGCGUUAUGCGAAAGAAAGGGCUCCAAUUCUUUGCAUUUGUGAAGAUCAAGAGCCAAUGGAGUUUUUGGUUGCUCUUACCAACCAGCAACCAUUGUUUGGGAAUUCUGAUAAGGGAUAGUCGAUGGAGUAGGAUGUUGAUGAAAGAAGAAAGAUUGAUGAUGAUACGGAGACGGAGUGGUGAACACAACUUAUUACCCGCCACCAACAUUUCUGUUUGACGGUAGGUUAACGGAAAUUAACUGUGUUAAUAGUGAAGGGAGGUGAUUGUGUAUUACAAAAAAACUUAAGGGAGGUUAGUGUAUGUUUUUAAACUAAAGGGGGUGUUGGUGUCAUUUCAACAUAUCUUAAGGGAGGUGAUUGUAAUUUUCCCUAACAUUAAAUAUAUCUAUUAACAAAUGACAAUUCACCAUUAAAAAAAAACACAAAGGACAAUUUGGUAAAACAUACAUACACUAUGACAACUUUAUUACUUCACCCAAUUUUUUUAAUACUCCUGAUUUUUUUAAAUUAGUCUUAUAAAAAGUGAUGGUGGAAGUAUAAGCUACGAGAGAAAUUACGGGUGCAUUUACUAUUUUUCCAUACAUACCUCUUAUUAAGUAUAAGGUCAUGCUAACAUACACCUGCACAUGUUAAGGUAUCUACAUAAAAAAAAAAGUAUUAAUUGAGAAAAAUUAAAUUUCAAUCUUUUGUAAAAUAAAUUGACACAUUUUCCGAUAUAAAAUUUCUAUCUUUAGUACCUUAACAUGUGCCUUUGUGUUAGCAUUUCCCUAAAGUAUAACUAAUUUAUCUUGGAGUAUAAAAGCUAAAGAUAGACACACUAAUAUACAAAGGGCAUUUUAGGAAAAUCAAUCUGCACAAUAGACACAUUAAAUUCAUUAAGCGAAAAAAGAAAAAGGUCGUUAUACGUAGGGAGGAGGGAGUACGUGUUUCAUAACAAAAGUCAUAUACUCCAUUAAGGGUGUUUGCGGUGCAGUUUGAAUCAAUUUUAAAGCAAAAAAUCUUUCAAUUCAAAGAUAAUAUUAUAUGUUGUUCGGUUCAAUUUUCAAUGACUAAUUUAAGAAAAUCGAUCUGAUCUAAUUUAAUGCGAUUUAUUUUGGAUUAGUUUUUGGAAAAAUGAUUAUAAAUGUACAAUAAAAUAAUCGGUUUGAUGCAAUGUAUAAUAUAUAAUAUGUUGGAACAAAGGUUCAACUUUUGUGUUAAUUAAGAGAAUAGAGAGAAAAGAGAAUAAAUUAGAGAGAUUUCUAUGAAGGAAAAUUAGAGUAGUAUAUUGCUUUUGAAAUCUUUGAUUGUUUGCUACAUUGUGCAUAUGUGAGAGACUAUGCUAUUUAUAUAGCAAUACUUGUUACACAAGUUACUUCAUUUACAAACUAUCUCAUAACAACUUUUUUAACUAACUAAACUACUCCAACAAACUGAAUUACACUUCUACCACAAUAUACUGUUUAUAAUCGGUUUGAUGCACGAUAAACUUCGUUUUAUUUAUUUUGUCGGAAUAUAAUAAUCGUUACAUUGAAUGCAUGAGACUAAAGUAUUCGUAUAGUUUUUACACCAAGUUUCCCAAGCUUUUUCUUUUUUCUACAAAAAAUAUAGUCUGGGGAAAGAGUAUAUACUCGUAAAAGAAGAUAUAUGCUUAUUUGAAGAAGGAUCUCCUGCGGUCCGUUUUGGAUUUAGUAUAUGAUGAAUAUGUGACAGGUUUGCUUUAUUCAAAAAAAAAAAAAAGUGACAGGUUUGCUAAUAAAUUACGUCAUUGUCCAUUUGCUGUUAGAAAGACGAAGAAUUAACAUAUUUUUUUGACAGAGAAAGGCAAUGAAAUUAAUCAUAUUGGUCGCGGUCCUUUACCUAUUCUUGUGGACUCUAUUUUGCCACAUUUUCCCUCCCAUAUGUUUCCUCCUCCAAGAACACGUUAGGUAGGAUAUGUGGUAUUUAAUGGUGUUUUAAAAACCGAACCAAUCUAAAUUUAAAAUUGUAAAAAAUCGUGCUUGAUUUAGGUGUAUUUGACCUAAUUUUUCACUCAGCCGUUAGGUUUGGUUUGCGGUUUUUGUCUUAUCCAUCGAACUAACUUUAUAUAUACAAUCAACUUUUUUUUUCUUUCUUUUACCAAUUAACUUUAGGGUUAAUUAAGUUUUUGGUCCCUAUAAAUAUCUACAGUUUUGUUUUUAGUCCCAAUAAAAAUAAAUCACACUUUUAGUCCCUAAGAAAUUUUCUGUUAGUGUUUUUGUCCCUGUUAAAUUAAAAUUUGUUUAAUUAUACUUAAACUUCUAAAAUUUUGAAAGAUUUUUUACAUACAUGUUCAUAACAUCAUAAGACACUCUUUUAUAAAAUAAAAAAAAUAAAAAAAAAUUAGUUUUUUAACAUGUAAUGAAUUAAAUAUGAUGAAUUUUUCUAAAAGCCAAAAUUUCAAGAUUAUAUUAAUGAAAAUUUGGACCUAAUAAUAAAAUUUUAAGUUACUUUUUUGCAGAGGAACUUUGUAUAAUAUUCUAAGUAAGUAUGUGAAAAAUAUGUUACAAAUUUAAAAGUUUAAGCACAAUUAAGCAAAUUUUAAUUUUACAAGGACUAAAAGUAUGUGUUGGUCCCUGUUAAAUUGAAAUUUGUUUAAUUAUACUUAAACUUUUAUAUUUUUAAAUGAUUUUUAACAGACAUGUUAAGAACAUUAUAAUAAUCUCUUUUAUAAAAAAUUAGAAUUUUUUAACAUGUAAUGAAUUAAAUAUAAUUUUUUUAAAACGCCAAAAAUUCAAGAUAAAACUAACGAAAAUUUGGACCUAAAAAUAAAAUUUUGAGCUAAUUUAUUGUGGCUGAACCUUUUAUAAUGUUUUAAACAAGUAUGUAAAAAAAUCAUUAAAAAAUUUAAAAUUUUAAGCAUAAUUAAACAAAUUUUAAUUUAACAGGGACUAAAAACACAAACAGAAAAUUUUAUAGGGACUAAAAAGUGUGAUUUAUUUUUAUAAGGACUAAAAACAAAACUGCAGAUAUUUAUAGGGACCAAAAACUUAAUUAACCCUUAACUUUAUACAUACCAUGUAAUCGUUUUCAAUCCAUUAAAAGUAUUUAAAUUAUUUCUCGAUUGUCUCUCCAACUCGACUGCCUCUCCUUAGUGACUCUAUCCUAGAGGCUAAUAUAAUCAAAAUAGGUCAUUCUAACAAAUUAGUUAAUUGUUGCCGCUAAUAUAAUCAAAAUUGUUGACAUAUUUUUUAAAUUGUGUGUUCUCUCGUAAAAAAAAAUGAAUCAGCCCAAACCUCGUUGGUUUGAUUUAGUUUGUUAUUCUUUUAAAUUGUCAAUCAAAUUACAUGUUUUUUUUAGAGAAAUGAUAUUUGAACAUCCAUUUUGUGACAACUUACUUUCUCUCUUAUACUCACAUUAUUUUUUACUUUAUCUCUCUAUUGCUUUGAUUUUCAUGCAAAUACAUACUUUUUCUUUAUAAAUUAUGGUUGUUUCAUAAGUUGUCAAUCAAAUAAUUUUCAAAUAACACUCCUCUUUUUUUUUAUUUUUUUAUUAUAAUGAUAAAAUAACUUUUAAUUUAAAAUCGAAUCAAAGUAUAUCACGAACACCUCUCGUAUUCAAUAGAAAUUGGGAGGAGGAGCAACACUUACUAGACAGAUGUUCAGAAAUUUUCUUCGAUUUAAUUGUAUAUCGAAGAAGAGCUGAAGUAAGUAAUAUAGCAUCUUUGUUCUAAAUUUGCAAUAAAAAUAUAUUUUAAAAUGGAUGCGUUUUAAAUUUUAGGGUUAAAUAUGUUUUUAGUCCCUAUAAAUAUGUCAACUUUUCGUUUUAGUAUCUUUAAAAUUUUCCUUCAACUUUUAGUCCCUAUAAAAUUUUCAAUCUUCACUUUUGGUCCCUCUUUUAAAGUAAACUCAUAUCUAGAAUUCAUAGUUUUUAAUAAAAUUUUCUAUAAAAAUUCAAAAUAUUAUAAGAAUCAUUUCAAAAAAAAAUUAGAAUUUUUUAAAAAAUCAUGAAUUUAAUAUGAAUUUUUAUAUUUUUUUACGGUUAAAAAUUCAUAUUUAAUUUGUGUUUUGUUAAAAAAUUCUAAUUUUUUUUAAGAAUUUAUUUUAGAAUAUUUUACACAUUUCUGUACAAUUUUAUUAAAAAGUACAAAAAUUAAAUUAAAAAUAGGGACCAAAAGUAGUAAUUGAAAAUUUCUUAGUCUUUGCAAUAACAUACAUUUAAUAAAUUUCUCAUUCAUCUCAAGGGACAGUUUAUAUAUUUUGCUGCCUUCACUCAACCAAGUCCAAAGAUAGUAGAAAAAAUUGAAGUUGCUGCGCUUCUAUCUCCAAUACCACACUUGGAUCAUGUUAGUGCACCUCUGGUGCUUAGAUUGGUCAAGAUGUAAAUUGAUCAGGUACUUUUUUUCUGCUUUCUAUUGAUUUCCACGGUUGAAUUAGUAGCUAAUUAAUACGCAAAUUAUUACUGGUUUUAUCCAGGUGAUUCUGAGUUUCUUCUGCAUAUGUUUAUUCAUCCAAGUAUUUCUAGUCUAGAAAAUGUUCACUUUACUGUGAUACAUGUCUAAGUUGCAGUGACUCAAUGUCAUCCAUUUACACGUUCAUGUCUCUCAACAAUGGUGUUAAUUUUGUGUAGAUUACAUAAAAAUACUCUUGGUAAAUAUAUUCCACUAUCAGCAGUGCUUAUGUUGUGUAUGGCAUGCUAUAUCUUACCAAAGACCUUAUAUCUUUACAAAGAGCAAUGGUAGGUUGACCACCCCAUGUGGCAUACACCCCUUGUACCAGCAGAUGGGUGGAAUAAAAUUCGGUCACUCAUCAAAUAUAUCGAAUAAUUUCAAAGAGACUGCCUUUUUAACUUCAUCUAGAAAUUGCUGAACGUACUUUUAAAGUUUUGAUAUCUUGAAAGCAAUGAUCAUGUUGACUUCAUUUUAAGCUUGCAAGCAAAACAAGAUCUAUAUGACCCUAUUAUCAGUUUUUUCAAGUCGUUUGGGCAAUUUAGUAGUAUUUAAAGCUUGCUUCCUUCUACUAAGAUGAAUGUAAUAUAACAAUAUAUAGGCCCAUGUAUUAUAUUUACCCAUAUUGUCAUGUUAAAACAUUAAACAUACAGUGGAGUCUGUCUACUUUGAUCUUCUAUUUAUAAAUAUGGUGAUAACAGAUCCCACUGAAUUGGCUUAAAAUCUCUUAGGUAUUAGUAUUUAAUUAGUCUUUUGUUUCAAAUUGUUAUUCUAUUGGAACCAUAGAUUCCUUUUGUUCUUUCUAUUCUCAGUUCUUCUCUAUAAAUCUAUAUAUUGUUAACAAAAUUCUCUGUAGAAUGGUAUUAAAACAGAAGAUAUAAAUUUAUCAUUGCAAUCACACUCUAGAACAUAAAGGAAAGUUUAUAGAGACAAGAAUAGUAAUUGAAGUGACUGUAAACUAUCUGACAUUCAAAAUCAGCAGGAUCGAUAGGUUUGGUAAAUCAUACAUAUAACUAGCUUGCAGCACACACUAAAGGAAUAACCAUCCACACCAGAUGUGGUUUAUCUUGAAAACUAUGGUCAUGUUGAGGCUCUGACCGACAUCUUGAUGCAUUUAUCCAAGACAUUAAGAAACAUUGCAUUGUUAACAUUCAGACGAUGUAAUAUCAUUCAUUUCAUUGUCCUUGUUGCACGUUCAAAACAUCUAUGCAGUUACAUUUGUGUGUUAGCAGUUGUGUUGUGUUUUAAGAAUUGUAAUAAAUUGGCAAGUUAUGGAAAUGGGGUCAUUUGGUUAUUUUGGAAGGGAAUAUCUUGUAAAUUUACUAGUGUCAGCGUACUUUACUGGCUAGUUUCUCAGGAACUAAUCAUGGUUACAUGUAUGAUUCCCUUCCUAAUGCUUGUGCCUGAUAGAUGGUUCUAUGUCCAGAUAUUCUUUGUUCUUAAUUUUCAGGUUCUGCCAUAGUAGCGAGAAAACUAGGAAUUGAGUCGAAGUAUUUGAACAAACUUAUCGACACCAAUAACAAUCAAUCAAGCUCUCUUUGACUGCUGCAUUCCUGUGUGCGUUUUUGGUUUCCUUUUUCUUGGUUCGCAUCAUCAUUUUUUAUCACCUUCAUAUUUUGUUUUCAGUUGUACCUUUGUCUCAACCCCAUCCUAUCAAGUCGAUAAGAAGUGAUAAUGUUGUCACUUGCAGGUAGAAUAAAUCGACCAGAUCCAAGAGUAUAGUCGUCUCCUAAGUAAUUAUAAGUGACUGACAUUAUUUCGGCCAGUGAGUUUUUACUUAGGUAACUCAGCCUUGUAAUUGUUACUACUCCUCAAACCAAUUUUAAUGGUGUUAUCAGAUCUUUGAGAAGCUUGGAUCAAAGCUUAUUUGAUUUUCUAAAUAGUUAUAAAUACUGUCCAUUCCCUGUGGAUCAAAGCUAGCAUAUAUCUGCUGAUUAUUCUUGAAUGACCUACUUAUAAUUCCAUGAUAAUAUCUUCUUGUUGAUUAAGAGCAUUAACCAUAUAUAUAAAAAAUAAAAUAAAAAAUCAAUGACAUGUGGUCUAACAACUUCUAAAAGAAGACCUGUGCUCUAUUUUAUUGGAAAAAAGGACAACAAAAUUUACCAUAUUACACCUUGUGAAUGUUUACAACACCACGUUUUUUAAUGUCUUCCAUAAAUGCAUCAAGAUUCCAAUCAGAGGAUCCACCAACGGCCACUGCUUCCUCUGCCUCCUUCUUCCACUUCAUUGCAUUUUUCUUCAACUCCUCUGCUUUUUCCCCUGUUGUUGCUUCCAAUAAGCACUUCUUCACCUCAUCUCUUGUUACCAACUUGUUUUCCAUAAGACUAUAACCCAAUCUAAUCCCUACACCAAAAACAUCUAUCAAAAACUUUGCAUUUGUAAGGUGGUCACCAAAUGCUGGAAAUGCCAACACUGGAACUCCUGAAGCAAUUGCUUCCAUCGUUGAAUUCCAGCCACAAUGUGUCACGAAACAUGCCACCGAAGGAUGAUCAAGUACUUCCUCUUGUGGACUCCACUUCACCACUUUUCCUCACUCACUUGUUUCCUCCAAGAACCCAUCAGGCAAAUGAUCAUGGUGUUUUUUCGCCCACAAAAAUUUGACUUUAGAAUUUAAUAACCCAAAUGCAAUUUCAUGAGAUGUAAACAACAGAACCUGUUGGCUUUGUGUGUAGCCACUCUAUAAUACUACAAUCAUCAUCGCUCUUAACAAAAUCACCUCGAAUAUUGCUUGCUGCUUUUAUUGUUGGGUUCUUGAACAGAGGACCAAUGGGUCUAAUGAGGACUGAUUUUUUGGAAAGAUAAUCGAUGAAAUCAUGCUCUAGUUCUUCAUAGGUAUCCGCUAAUACACAAAAUAUUUUGGACAAGUUAUUCAUAUGUGACGUGAUGAGUGUCCCUAGAAUUGGAUAGGGAUUAAAAGGAUGUGUUAAAUCUGGGAUUUCAUUGUAUUUAAGGACUAUAAAAGGCAAAUGAACAUCAAUAUAAGGUUCUGUUUCUGAAGGAAAAGGUACAAGUUUGUGGACAUAGUUAUAGUAAGUGGCGAAAACAGCACUAGAAUUAUUCCAUGAUAAAGCAGAAGGAAUGUCAUGUUCAAAAGCUACAUCGCAAACCCAUGGAAGAAAAGGAUUGUAUAUGAUACAUGAAAUUGGUUUACUUGAAUCAGCAUGAUUCUUGAUCAUUUUAGAAAAAAAAACUGCCUCCCAACAAGCUCAAGCUCUGCAUGGUCAAUGGAACCAUCAUCUAGUAAACAAUGAUCAAAGAACUCGAAAGUGAGGCAACCAUCGCCUAUUGGAGUUGCUAAUUUGUUGGUGAUUCGCAUGUCUUUGCCUGCUUUCUCUGUUGUAGUAAAGAUGACAGAGGCACCCUUUGCAGCAAGACAUUUUCCUAGUCUAAGAAGAGGGUUUAUGUGUCCUUGUGCUGGAAAAGAAACAAGUAGGAUAUGAAGGGGAACUUCGGAUCCCAUUUUUCCUUUUCUUUUUCACAGUUGGAGAAAUGUAUGGCAGGAUAAAUAACCUGGGGCAGAGGCAUGAGCCCUUGCCAUGUUUUUCAUAUGGCAUGGAGUACAUAUGUAGUGUAAGAUUAGAGUUCCUCUUACAUGUGUAAAUGGCCUCUCGAAUUUUCCAAGACAUGUGUAUAUGACCUUGGGAUAUGGUUUUCAACACAAUGAUUUGAGCAUCUACAUGUAUAACGGGAAAUGUGUUUUUUUAAACAAUUAGUAUUUACACUUCCUAAUGAAAUAUAGACUAAAACUAGUUCCCUACAAAUAAAAUAAACUAAAACUGGUUUGUAUAACGAGGAGUUUUUUUAAUUAAAUUAAAAAGAUAAUAUUUUCUACUUCCUAUCUAAACUAAAACUCGCUAACAUAAUGAUGUGCUAGUAUUAGGAACUAUAAGAACACUUAGAAAGAUACAAUGUCAUUGCAAUUUGAAUACUUAAGUUUAAGACCACUACCCAAACAACCAAGAAAAUAAAAGCAGGUUGAAUACUUCCCGUAUGCACUAUUAUACCCAAAAAAAAAAAAAAAUUGCAUCACAUGGACAGAAUGAUUUGAGUAAAAUACGCAGUCUCAUAUUGUGCAAACACGACACCAAUUUUGACAGCCACUUCUCCAAAAAUGAAAAGCAUUUACAUUAUUUUUUGAAACGGUCAAUGUUCGUAUGUUAUGUUAAUGGUUAAUUUGUUAGUUUUUGAUGAAGGUGGGAAGCGGACCUGAAAUCACCCUUAUCAAUCCACAUGUUACCUCUUUCACCACAGCCACCAAACCAAUCAUAUCAUAUAAUUGUAAACACAAAUUGUUCACUAGGUAAUUAGGAUUUUUGCUUUACAUCAAUAUUACUUUUAUAACUAUGAAACAAAGUUACGAUAAAAUAACAGAAAUGCCUCAAUAAUUAAUGAUAUAUGCUAACAGUAUGGUAAUGGCAAAGAAAAUAGUAUAUAAAGGUACAGAAGUAAUAACCUUCAUAUCAGUGGUGCACUCCAUCCUUUCUACAUCUUCACUGAGAAUUUUUAACCUUUUUCCUCUAUCAUUCAAUGGUUUGGAAUCUAUUUUUCCAAACAAUGGUUUUAACUUCAACCAAUCAAUUAGUAGCAAACUAAGACAGUAAAUACUUCUGUGGGAUUUAUCAUCAUCAUAUUUACAGACACAAGAUCAAAGUGGACGGACUCCACUGUAUGUUUAAUGAAUCUAUAAAUAGUUAUAUUACAUUCAUCGUAAUGGAAGGAAGCAAGUUUUAAAUACUACUAAAUUUCCCCAUUGACUUGAAGAAACUGAUGAUAGGGUCAUAAAGAUCUUGUUUUGCUUGCAAGCUUAAAAUGAAGUCAAUGUGACCAUAGUUUUCAAGAUAAACCACCUCAGGUGUGGAUGGCAGUUCCUUGAGUGUGUGCUGGAAAUCAGUUACAUCUGCUAAAGCAUCGUUUCCCCCAUAAGCCAUCAACAAAGGCAAUGAUCUGGGUAUGCGGCUAAGGUCAAAUUUUGGUGGUUUGAAAUUGCCAUACUCUAUCAGAUUUUUAAGCUUUCCAUAAUCGUACUUGGAGAAGGUGCCUUUGCGGAUCACUGGAGAACAUAUGAUGAGGUCAUCAGAGACAUAACCAUUAACAAGAAUAAUAGCACGUCAAUACUGAUUUCUAAACCAUCAUACACAAAAUGAAAGCUGGCUAGCCAAAGCAAAUAACACAGUAAAAGUGGAUAACCAAACUCCAAAUGUCCUUCUAGCAAUUUAUGAAUAGAGUUUAAAAGACAGUCUGGUGGAAAUAAUUAGGUAUUCAAUGAACAGAAGAAUUUUGUUCCACUUCCACCCAUAUGCUGAUUCAUCAACCAGUAAUUAAUGGCAAUUACUAACUAGUAACUUAUCUUCGUACAAAUAUGGUCCUUGGCAAGAUAAAGCAUGUCAUAAACAACAUAAGCAUACAUAUCAUGCUGAUAAUGAAAUAUAUUUACCAAGAGAAAAAGAAACUACAGCGGAGCAUGUUUAGAUAAUCUACUGGCAAGUUUGUACCUAGAAAUGACAUUAUAGGAAAUCAAUUGAUACAUCCUCCUCUCCUAAACACAUAGUUGCAAGGAUUUAAAAGAUAUGCAUUGUCGGUGUAAAUCAGUUUUAUUUGACAUUCAAUAAAUUUACUAUUUGGCCACAUCACCCCAUUUUAAUAACUGCAUUUUGAAAUUGACGGAAUGACAUGGAAAAAAAGAGACCUCUCAUUGGAUGUUAGUGUAAAACUAAUUACUAAGGUGGACAUGUAGUAGACGAUAAUAGAAUAAGCAAACUGGUACUAAGGUUGUCAUGUAGAAUAGAAAAUGUAAAACUUUGUCUUUAAAGUUCAGACCUACUGAACAUUAUUACUUCCCCCAGCCCCCGUCCCUACAAAGUCCAAUUUAAGGCUGCCUCAUAUCAUACAAACGUUAUAACAUUAUCAAACAUGAUCAAAGGUAAAUUUGUGAUGGUAACAAUCAGUAGUAGAAUUCAUAAAUAUGAGCAACAACAUCAAACUACUAUAGCUAUCUGUACCACUGCUAAUUGAAAACAGCCCCAGUGAAUAGUCAGAAAAGUCACAAAAAUUCUCACAUAAAGAAACCAAUUAAAGAUGACAGAAUAUGGAACAUACUCUGGAAAAGGUGGUUCAAGUUUUUGGAGGAUGAUGGGUGAGGUUCUUGUUCAAGAUAAUAAGCCACGCGUGACUCGUUGAAGCAACAAUUCUUUCCUGUAAUUUAAUUUAAUGUCAUGAGAAGAAGCAGUAACAAAAAAAGAAAGCAAAACAAGAAAUAUUGCAUAAUUAUUGAUACAUGCAGAAUUGCCAAAAGGAUUCCUAAGUUAUUGAUUCAAAUGAGAGAGGAAGGUUUGUGAAUCAUGCUUAGGCAACCUAUGAAGCACGGACACCUCUAGGACUAGGCGUGUCGCGGUGUCCGACACUCCCAUGACACUCGUAUGACACGCGUCGGACAACUAAGACCGGUGUCCUAAAUAAAAUUGUUUUUUUCUUUGCUUCGACACUCCUAGACCGGUGUCCGACACCUAUAACACUCACACGAGCCAUGUCAGACAACUCAAACAAAUGUCUGAAACAUUUUUUUUCUCUUGGUUCUACACACCGUAGAUACAAGAGUUGCAUAUGUGUUGAGAAAUGUUGAUCAAUUACGGGGUUAUAGAAAUUAAAGUUGAUUACAACGUUUUUAGCUUUUUUGAUAGUAGAAGAAUAAAUAAAGGUCAAAUACUAUGGUAUCUUGUUUUAGAACUUUUUUCAAUGAAAUAAACUGCUCAAGUUAAAUUCUUAUGUAUGAAUUUUGAUUUUCGUUUUAGAGAUAAAUAAAUUAAUAUAUGUGUAGCGGUGAUGGUGUCCUAUAUUUUUUACAUCAAUAAUAGGAUCUUGUGCACAAUUCAGAUCAGAGAGGGUGAGUAGGACCGCAAAAUCGUAAGAUUUUUUACUUUUAAAUCUAGAUCAUGAUCAAGACAAUGUGUUCGUAAUUGCAAUGGCAUUCAUGAAAGACAAAAGGCAUUAUGAGAAGAGUAUAAUUUAGAUUGGAAAGUUAAGCACUAUAAAAACAAAAAAAUGGAAUUCUACAAAGACUAGCAUGAUGUGAACUCAGUCAACUCCUUCUAAACACAGACAUACAUACAGAGCUAGUGUGAGAGACAUGAACCUGUAAUGGAUGACAGCAUGUCACUGCAACUUAGACGAGUAUCACAUAAGGAAAUCAAGAGAUUGGUUUCCCAAUCGCUGAAAAUGAGUUAAGAAAAAUACCCCGUUAAAAUUUGGUAAGCUGGAAAUACAUGGAUCAACAUAUGCAAAAGAAAAGGGGAAAAACAGGACAGAACGAAAACUGGAACCUUUUGAAAUUCAGCUGAUGAACACCCAUUGUAGAAAUCAUCUGAACAAAAACAGCAAUCAUUUUCAUAUUACAUAUCAACUUUAACAGUUAAAGAAAACAGAAACUAUAAAGCAACAACAAAUACCUGAUCAAUGUGCAUCUUUUCCAUUCUUAGUACCAAAGGUGCACUAAUAUGAUCCAAGUAUGAAAUUGGAGACAGAAGAGCUGCAGCUUCAACCUUUUUUACUAUAUCCGGUUGAGUGAAGGCAGCAAAAGAUAUAAUUGUCCCCUAAGAUGGAUAAGAUGUUUCUAAAAUGUAAGCUAUGGAAAAUGCUGGUAGAAUGUGAAAAGGAUGAUUUACAGGAAGCAUAAAUACCUGUGAAUGCCCAACUACAAAUAACUUUGAGUUUGUCACUGAAUUAAUAUAAUUGAUCAUUUCCGCAAGAUCAUACAGGGCUAAUUCUUGCCAGCUCCAAUCCCAAAAAUGCUACAAAAGGACAAAUGCUAAAUUAGUCAUGCUCAUCAGUUUUAUUUUGGUAAAAAUGAGGGGCCAAAGCACAAGUCACAUCGUAUCACUUUAGUCAUGUUACAACAAACAUGUAAAGUGUAUAAAAAAACUCUGACUAGAAUUCUUCGACAAUGGUAGAUAUUAAUAAUAUAAAAACGUUUGAACCUUAUCAAUAUACAGCUAAAAAUGACAUAAUGAACCAACUGCUCAAGAUCAAACAAUAGCAAUGAUCUACCGAAUAAAGCAUUUCUUCUUUGUCCAUUCUGUUCUCCCUUUUUGCGAUCAUCAUAAGUAAUUCUUAUAAUAUCAGAGGUAAUAAUGAUGAUCUACCGAAUGAAGCAUUCCUUCUUUGUCCAUUCUGUUCAACCUUUUCAAACUAGUGCUGAAAAUCAGCAGAGUCUAUACUAAAAUACUUCAAUAGUGCUAAUUAAUAUAAGUGAAAAAAGUUGGUGAAAACAUUCAGAGGUGCCGUGUCAAAACUCAAAAAUAUAAGAUCACAUACUAGCUUUCUCUAGUGUGACCUCAUUUCUAUUAGCAAAUGGCAAUUGUUUCCCUUAAUAAAUUUAGAACUUGUAGUAUAAAUAUGAGUGAUGAUAUCUGUACAACUAUUUUGUGACAACUUUUGGGACAACCUUUUUUUCUCUUCUUUUGGGACAAAAACAAUAGAGAUAAAGAGGGGAAGAGAGAGAGAGAGAGAGAGUUGUCUCAAAAUUUGUCCCAAAAUGGUUGUACAAAUAUCAUUUCUCUAAAAAUAUUUUCAAACAUUACCAAAUGAAAGUUUAAUUGUUGAUUUCAUAACUUUAAAAUUUCAGCAAUGAAGUUUCAAAUUCAUUUUGCAAUUUUGUGGAAAAAGAAGAAAACUAAUUCAAUAUUUCUCCCAUAUGUUACAAUUGAAGAAAAAAAAAAACUAUCACACAUCUGCCACUCAGUGAGUUUUAUAACAUGAAGGAUAAAGCAAACUGCUCACCUUAUUCUUCUCUGAUAAAGAUUUAUGCCCAUGGCUCCAACGUGUUCCACGCACAUUUCCUACCCAAACAUCAAAACCUUGAUCGGCAAGGAUGAAGCCCAAUGACUGUUCUGGUGUAUUUAGAAACCAUGCAUCACCUGCCUGAUUGUAUCAAAUUGCACAACAAAAGACAAAAAACAAUGUUGAGAUUCAGUCAAUUAGUUUCAAACUAUAAAAGGAAUUUCACAAUUCACACUAAAAAGAGUUAAAAACUCCACUUCCCCUAAAAAAUGACAGAAUAUAGUACAAAUUAUUGCAUACAAAGUGAAUUUUGAACACCAAUUCAAACACUGUCCAGAACUCUGUAAAUAUUAGUAGUGUCAAAUUGAUUUUGAAUUAAUUGAUUUGUAAAAUUGAUUCUAGUCAAAGGUAAAAUGAAUGGAAAGUGAUUUAUGUUUGGAUACAUUCAUGUAAAGUGGGUUUAACGAUAAAUUCAAUGGUAAAAAUCAAUUAUAGAGACAAAAGCUUCAAAUUCUAGGCUGAAGUUAGAAUCAAUUAUGAGGCAAAACCAAUUCUACUUGAGAACAUCCAAACAUGUCAUAGUCAAAUUCUUCACCUUGAGAAUCAAUUUUGUACCCUCCAAAAGUAGAUCCAAACAUACACUCAAGGGAGCUAGUUAAAAAAUCUUGAAACAUCCCACAUUGAAAUAGCAAGAUAUCAAUGCCUUAUUAUACUUAUACACUAUGAAGCACAUACACACACAUGGACACUGACAUGUGGACACCUAUAAUAAUUUGAGAAAAUAACGUAACUCACAUGUGUUGAUGUCAGACAUCGGACACAUCUUAUAUUAGAAGUGUCGGUGCUACAAAGAUUAUUAUAUAAAAUUAAAAAAAUUAAGAGCAGACAAUGAAGUAAGUUAGUGCUAACCAUGAAGAGGCCAUGGAGAAGCAGAACUGGAGGACCUCGUUGUUGUUGUUGAGCAGAAUAACGAAUACGCGCAGAAGAAGAAGAAGAAGACACGCGCUGAAGACCUAACAAGAAACCAUCCUUUGUUUCAAUCUGAAAGUAAUACAAAAAUUAAAAGCGCCAAUUAACAAGAAAACAGAAAGAUAUGAAUUAGAAAAAGGAUAAUAUUGAAGAAAAGUAGUAAAUGUAUACCACAAAUUCGGAGCAAGGGUAACCGGCUGGAAGAAUGAGUUCAUCACAGAGAGUUGGUUGUUGUUUGGGGGGUGCGCUGCCGCCGUCGAAAGAGUGAGCGAUGAUUCCGAAGGAUAAGAGUAUGGCAAUUGUCAUCAACCAAACACUCCCCAUCCCCCAAGUUCUCUUUGAUGAUGAUGAUGGUGGCAACACUCAUCAUUUGUAAUCUAAUUUAUACUAUCGGGUUCGAUAGAUUAUCCAUCGCUCCAACGCGCCACAAUUGGCGCGUGUUCUGUAAAGCUACUAACUGUUUACUGUUAGGUGGUUGUUAUCGUUUUGCUUGCUCAGAUCUAUAUUUUACUUUGGGGUUACGUUUGGAUGUUCUGAUAGGAAAAGAAGGAAAAAUGUCUUCAAAUGAAAAGUUUAAUUUUUCGUGUUAAAACCAAAUUUGUUUUAGAUGUUGGUAAAAAUUAGUCAUUUUAUUUAUUUAUUUUUGGUAACGUCAUUUUAUUUAUUUGAAACAAUGCUAAAAAUUUUGUUAAUCUGUCUGUUUAUUUAUUCUUUUCAUAAUAAAAAUUAUAUUAUUUAUUUGAAACAAUGCUAAAAAUUUUGUUAAUCUGUCUGUUUAUUUAUUCUUUUCAUAAUAAAAAUUAUAUUAUUUAUUUGAAACAAUGCUAAAAAUUUUGUUAAUCUGUCUGUUUAUUUAUUCUUUUCAUAAUAAAAAUUAUAUUAUUUAUUUGAAACAAUGCUAAAAAAUUAAAUGAAUAGAGUACUACCAACACAAAAUGAGUCUACCAUGAAACUAUACUUUUUUACAACAUGUGAAUUAAGUUUAAAUUUUGGAAGUGUAUACUCCCUCUCUCUCGCUAAUUAUAAUCAAAUUAACUUUUUAGGUUCAUUCAAUCAAUGAUGUAUGUGGUCUAUAAUAUAAAUCAAAUACAUCAUUAACUGAAUGAACCUAAAAAGUCAAAUUGACUUAUAAUUAAGAACGGAAGGAGUAUGUAUUUUGUAUUUGAUAUGUCUUGAAUAUGAUUAUCGAGAGAAUUUAAAGGAAAUAAAAAAUAAUUGGAGUACUAUUUUGAAUGAUGCUUAACAUGAAGUAAUGAAAUCAAAGUUAUUUGAUUAAAUUGUAUUUACUCAAUAUUUUAUCCAAUAUUAUUGGAUACUUUUAUUGAGAAAAAUUAGUUUAUUAUAGAGUAGUAUGAUUUAAUUAUAGACCUAAAUGUAUAUCUAAAUGGUCAAAGAAAUACGAUUAGUAAUUUAGUAUAAUUAUAGAUUAGUAUGAUUAAUAUGAUUUAAUUACAUGAGAAAAGGAAAGAAAGAAAAGGACUACAUCCAUACAAAAGACCGAUAAGAGCAUCAACUAAGGUUGAGGAUAAUCUACAAGAGGCUCUUGAAGCAAAAUCAAAUGACAUGAGUUACUAGCUCACAUUUUUGUUAGAACACCCACACAGCACAUUCACUUCACAAAUGAAACUGAGACGGUCUCCCUUAACAAGUUGAACCACGUGUAACAAACCCAAAAAAAACACUCGCAAUUUGUUUGUAAUGAUGUAAUUGGGUAGAAUGGAAUGUGAUAUGUUCGGUUAGAACGGUUGAGUCGCAACGGUGGAAAAGAAUGUUCCGAUGAUCGGGAACAGCUUCUGGUAUGGUGGCGAUGAGUCUUCUGCGGUAGAACGAAAGGUGCCUGCAGGCACGUCAGCACUCUGACGCUCAAGUCAGUAAUGGAACUGAAAGAGAGGAUGUAAGAAGUGUUGUGUACCUUGAGGGUGAAACAAGUUCACCCUUAUAUAGGCGGGCUCGUGGCAUAACCGUCUCCGUGUUAUGCGGCGUGUGAUUAGGAGCAUGGAAAGACAAGUGUAGCGUGAUCCCGACGAGGAGGCGUGCUCCGGUGUGACACGGUGCAGGCAAGUUGGUGUGCUCCCUUAAAUGUGUAGCCUUAAGGCGGCGUAUUAUUGUACAUAUUUAGCCGUGUGAGUCGUCUUGUGACCGGUCCAUAACAUAAUGAAAAAUAAAAUGGUAGAUUAUAAGUUUUCAUUUUUUGUAUAAUCGAGUUGGACAUGAUGAGAUCCAUGCCAUCUAAGUUUUGGUGUAAUGUAUUUUUAUUUUUUUUGGUCAGAUUGGUGUAAUGUAUUCUAAUUCUAUAUAGUAUAUAUUUUAUUGUUUAUAUAUGAAUAAAUAUGUAAUAAAAAGUUAUAAUAUAAAUAUUUUAUUGAUACCUUCAAUCCACUUUGCAAACAAUAUAAUAAAUAUUUUGUUGAUAAAAAAAAUAUUGUAAUAUUCAAGACGCCUUUUUAUUUUAUUUUAUUUUGGGUUGUCCAAAACGCCUCCUUAAUUUCCUCUAUUUUCAUCCAUGCAUUUAAUUUCCCCUAAAACGUCCCUAAUCACUUCAAACACACUAAAAAAAAUACCUCGUGAACGGGAUGAGUUUGUUUCAUGUACUGUAUUUUUAAUGCACAUUCAAAACAGUUGUUGGAGGAAGUUUCAUUGGACACAAGUGGACAAUGCAUACAUAGUUGCUAGUAGAAAUGGUUUCGGCCUUGCUCUGGGUCAAACAUGAAUUUUCCCUAAUUAAGUUAUUUAUUUUUAAUUAAAUAAAUAAGUGGUAAUUACCCACUAAGUGCACAUAGUGGUAAUUAUCCAUUAAUUAGAAAAUGGUCUUUAUUAUCCCCGUGAGCUUAGCUCAGUUGGUAGGGAUAUUGCAUUUUAUAUGCAGGGGCUGGGGUUCGAACCCCAGACACCCCACUUCUCCACAAUUAAACUGUGUGAGCUCUAGCCACUAGGCUACUUGACCAAAAAAAAAGAAAAUGGUCUUUAUUCUUUCCCUUAAAUUUAGUAACUGCCCAUUAUGAUUGAGUGGAGGAGCAGUUUUGUUUUGCACGUUCAGUAACUUCUUGAUGGCAGAAGUUAUAUAAAGGAGUGGAGUUCAUUUGUUUUGGUUCCCUAAGCCUAACAUCUCUAUUCAAAAGACUUACACCAUCAAAGUGAGAUUGUGGAAGGUUUAGAAGAGCCUCAACUUCUUCAAGCAGGAGCAAUGGCUGGAGGUAUGCCUUGAUCCUUUAAUUUAAGUUUCCGCUGUUUAAGUAGUUAUUUCUUUUGUUCUUUAUGAAAUAACUUACAAAACAGUGAAAAAAGUUUUUUUUUUUUUGUUAGGGUUCGAACCCAAACCUUACAUAUAUUAUGCAUUGUCCCUAACAAUUGAACUACGAGGACAGUGAAAAUAGAAUUAAGUUAAUGUAAACCGAUUCGUCUACUUUUCUUUUUGAGAGGGUUGUCUACUAUAUUUACAUGUCUUUUUGAGAGGUCAUCCUAACUGAUAAUAAAGGUACAUAUAAAUUGAUAAUAACAAAAAAAAGUUUAUCCUCCCUUCAAAAAAAAAAAGUUUAUCCUAUCUGUCUUUGGAGCACCGGUUAAGAAAACUAAAAAAGAAAAUUACUAUCAAACAAGAAUUUUUUUAUAAAUUGAUUACAGAAUUUUUAAUUCAAUAACUACCAUAUAAUUUUUCUUUUUAGUAUCUUUAAUCGGUGCUCGAGAGUACGAUCAUAUGGGCUAGCAUUUCCAAAAAGGAAUAUCGAUGGAAACAAAAAAAUCAACUAAAGGGAAAAGGAAUAUCGAUUGUAAAUUGAGUAUUCAAAACCUAUUAUAACAUCACAGUUUCAUAUACUUUUAAGACAUUUUUCUUUUUUGAGGGAAUAUACUUUUAAGACAUAUCAUCGAACAAUUUCCUUAAUCGUUACUACAUGAAAUGUUUUUGGGUCAUGUUAACUAACCAGUGUUUUAGGGACAUCAGUUAAAGUAUUUAAAAAAAAUAAAAUUAAAAAAGACAAUUUUUUUUACUUUUGAAAAAUUAAUUAUACAGUUUUUGAUGCAAAAAUUAUUGCAUUUGGAUUCUUAAACGAAGGACCAAUAGGUCUUAUGGUGAUUGAUUUUUUUGAAAUAUAAUCUAUGAAAUCAUGCUCUAGUUCUUCAUAGGUAUCCACUAAUACACAAAACACUUUAGACAAGUCCUUAAACUCUUCUAAGAUGAGUUUACCUAGAAAUGGAAAUGG